rnacentral:lncRNA from 1 species
UUCUGUUUCUUAUAUAUUAUUUUAUAAAUUUUUAAAUAAAAAAAUUAAAUUUUUAAAUAAAAGAAUUUACUAUGCACUCUUUUUUCUUCUCAUUAUAUUGUUAAAGAGGUACAAAUUAAAUACUAUUGUUGAAGAUGAUACCGGUUCUGCAAAUUUUACCAUCUUUGGAAGAUUGGUGCAAGAUUUGAUUCAUAUUCCGGUUCAAACCUUGCUACUUCAGUUGGUUCAGAUAAAUUUACUCUUCCUCCUACAAUUAAAAUAAUUUUUGGACAUGAACAUAUUUUUCAAAUUGUGACACCCCAAUAGUCCCACAUCGGAUGGGAAAGGGGUUGUCAUUGGGUUUAUAUGAGACUUAGACACUAGUAAUAAUAAAAAUCGGGCUUAAGCAUUUUGGGCCGGUGGUUGGGCCCAACGAAUUAUUGUUGCUAAUGGGCUGGGUUGUUACAUUUGGUAUCAGAGCCGGUUCACCAGCUGGACAUGUGUGGCGAGUCUCGGCUGAGCCAGGGUUUGGAUGACGGGCUAGCGAGACGAGUCUCACAUAGCCUGGUGAUCUUGGGCUGUGUGUGAUUGGACUGACGAGGACGUCAGGGCCUUAACGGGGGGAGUCUGUGACACCCCAAUAGUCCCACAUCGGAUGGAAAAGGGGUUGUCAUUGGGUUUAUAUGAGACUUAGACACUAGUAAUAAUAAAAAUCGGGCUUAAGCAUUUUGGGCCGGUGGUUGGGCCCAACGAAUUAUUGUUGCUAGUGGGCUGGGUUGUUACAUUGACCCCGGGGCGUGACACAAAUAGUACCUGACGUACAGAGGUUCAGAACAAGUGUUCCUUCUUUUAAAGUUGUCAAAAUUUUUAAUAUUCAAUACGAUAUAAAGGAGUAUACUUCUUCAGCUAAAAAUUUAUUAAUCAAAUAUGAAGAAAAAGCUGAUUCGCCUACUACUCAAAAGGAAAUACACAAAGAAUUAUUUGAGGAAGCAUCCCCAAGUACAACUAUUUUGUCAAGAUAAUAUUUUCAUAUUUAUUUUCAUGUUUGAUUUAUAUUAUUAUAUGUGUUUGUAUGUGUGUUUGUGUGUUUUUUAAACCAACAGAGAUAUAUAGUUUUACCAACAGCUUUCCUCAAUUUGCCGAUGAUAUAAAGGAAACUCAACCUGCCAAAAAAAAAAAGACUUAUGUAAGUUAGAAUAUACUUCAUUUCUUCCAUCAAAUAUAUAUUAUUUAUAGCUAAGAUUAUGUUAAAGUUACUUUUGUAUUGUUUUCUAUAUUUUGAUUUGCAGUUUCAAUAAAGGUCCUCCCACAAAUGAAGCCGGCUAUGAAGAUUUAAAAUUUAUACUGCAUUUAUAUUAUAUGUUUUAUUGUACUGUUAAUUUAUUGUAUUUUCCUAAAAGUUACGCUUACUACUACUGCGUACUUAUUAUAUGUUUUACGACAAACAAUAUAGAUAUAUGUUUUACUAUAUGUUUUAUGGCUCUCCGGAUCUAUACAUUACUAUAUAUUUAUCAACAAUUUGCAGCGAAGCAUGGGGUUUUCACUAGUGUAUAGCUAAUUUAGGGUCAUAAAUAUGUAGAUCAUGUUCUUUGACAUCUUGUGUAGUGUUAUUUUAGCACUCAGUAGCAUCCUAUUUAAAAGUCUGAGGACCAAAAUAAAUAUUAGUGAAAAGUUUAGGGACUGAAGUGGAAUUUACUCUCCCGAAAUGAUAGACCCUCUUCCCAAGUACUCGCCCCCAGCCCCACGCUUUUCCCCCGUUGCGGAAACCCGAAGAAAAACAGGGGGAGCACCAAAUCCCGACCCCAAUCCCUCAAUCCGAUCCCCUCACCUCUUCUCGACGCGGGGUUGGUCGCAUCGGCGGCGGCGAUGCCAUGAAGGUGGCGGCAGCGGCGGCGGAGGCGGUGGCGGAAUGGCGAGGGGAGUGGUAGAAUGGGGGUGAAGAGGAGCGAAGUGGUGCUUCUAUAGGAGGAUCACCAUUACGGUGUGCUCCGUGAACCUCUUCGUCGCGCUCUCUUCGUCCUACUACGCUCGCUUUACUCCUCCCUCUACGUUGGCGAUCCCUUUCCAGGUUAAAGAAGAGAAGAGCGAAUCUUAUUUGUUCUCCUCUUUUUUCUGAUAUAUGGAUAAAACCUUUUGGCUACAGAUCUUCUUAUUUACCUUUCCAUGUAAUAAUACAUGCAGAAAAAUGUGAACAGUCGUAACCAGAGCAGUAAAAACUGAACCCAGAUUACAUGUUACAGCAAGUGAUAGCAUUUCCAGACACAAUUUAACUCACUACUGAGAUAUUUUGGAUUGCACAAUAGCCAAAUUCCACAGUUAACCAGAGGUGCCAUCUUAAGAGUUUAGUUACAAACCGUCAUAUACCGUCCGAAGUAAAGUAUUGAUGAAAAUAUAUAAAGAGAAAUGUCAAGAGGGUGGCAUAAUUUCAGCUAUCUGGAUAGUCAGAGCAGUAUUGUACAAUGAAAUGAAUACUCACGUUCAAAACAAAAAGGCAACAUCACAACCAUGUAGAUUUGACAUGCGUUAGAUUUCAAUAUAGAGUCAAAACAGGAAUGAUGAAUGACAGAAAAUACCUCCCCGUUGUCUAUUCUUCUAAGUAGAUCUUUGAUGUCAUCCUUUACACUUUCAACCUACACAGAAGAAUAGACAUUGAAAAUAAUGUUGGUAAAAAUGAUAUAACCACAGUUCAAACCCAUCAAGCCAUAAUGACCUAUAGAUACACCAGUAUUCAAACCCGGAAAAAAAAGAAAAAUUCUACAUCAAGGGAAACAAGCAGAGUACAAAAUUAAAGUACAAUAUUCAAAUCUUUAAUGGAGAUAUCUCAGAUAUGGCCCCCAUAAAAAAGGAAAAUUCUACAUCAAGGAAAACAAGCAUAUGACUGCUUGACUACUCAAAUUGAUAUUCAAACAUCACCAAAAAGUAGAGAACUAAAUUUUCACAAGGUCAAAGAUAUUUUGAUACAUAUGGUAAUACACAUUUUGACACAUAUUUUUAUACUCUUACACACAAUGGAAAUGUGCAUCAUUCAUUGUUUCUUUUCUUAACAAGCUUGUGUUUGUACUGUUUCUUUCGGAUGUGCACCAUUCACUAUUUCUUUUAGAAGGUUUUAAAGUGCGUAGGCUUGUUAUCUAAUGAAAAUAAGUAGAACACAUAUGGGACGUACAGAAGCAAAUACAUUGAUGUGGUAUAAAACCCAACAAUUACAUAUGGGAAGUAGAGAGAAAAUACAUUACCUUUCUAGUAAUUUGCUCUUUAUCGAAAUUCAUCCAUCUAUUUUUCGCUGCCAACUUGGUCCCUACAUCAAAAAUAUCAGCACCCAACUUCUCUUGGGCCAAAGUAAAACCAAUUCAAAUCGAUCUUUUGCAAUAUUCGAUCAACAAUCACAUACAUUGCGAAGAUAGAUUAAUAAUCCCUCACCCUAAGAGCCGCCUUGGAGAUGCCCUCGGGAGGUGUAGCCAAGAAGAAUUGCACCUCCGGUGACCCAUUCACGACAUACGAUUUCCCCUUCUUGGUGAGCACCCAGUUAUCCCUUGUUAUCUCCUGCGGAAAAUUUCCCAAAAAUGCUUGGAUCUUGGAGCGGAAUUUGGAUUCUAGUUAGGGUUUUAUAGGAAGACAGUGCGGGGGGUGGGGGGAGGGCUAAGGUUUUAGACCUUGGCGUUGACGAUCUCGAAGCCCUUGAGACUUUUGAUGAGGUUCUCAAGGUCGGUGUGGGUGACACCGAGGGAGGCGGCAAAGUCGUAGGAGUCGGAGAUCUCGUCGUGGGUUUGAAGAAACACUAGGAGGGCUGCGUCCUCCGCCAUUGUUGUGGGUGUGUUGGUGGUGUUCGACCACAACGUCCUCGUUCUCCUCCGUUGGAAGAGAAGGAACAACGGCGUUUGUUGAGAACGCUUACGAAGGCUUCUGUGCCAAGCAUGUGCGACGAGGAGGGGGGGGGUGUUUGUAACGGGCGGAUGUGAUUUAGUCGAGGGAUCCAACGGCCGAGAAGUGCCACUCACGAAUGAGAGAAGGAAAUGGAGAUCGAUUGUCCGAUGUCUCUCAUGUGUACACUGUUCCAAAUCGUCAAAAACUGUACAUGGCCGGUUCGCACUCGCCAUAGAACAAUAAAUAGUUUUGAUUAGACAGUUAGAUGAGUCAACGAUGCAAACACAUCGGGUUGGUGGAGCUCCGCUCUGAUCAACUCUGCGAUAGGCGGGGCAAAAAUUAAAAAAAAAAAUCAAUUCAGACCCACUAAAAGGUUAGAGCGAGAGGCGAAAAAGCCAUUCCUAAAAUAGUAUAAAAGUCAAUCCAUUCCGCCGUUACCUAUCAAAGAAAUGGUGUAGGAGGUGGGGGAUCCCUCCUGCUCCUAUGUUCGUCUCGUUCGUGUUGCUACAUGAGUCUUAUGCAUGGUAGAAGUAUUAUAUUAAAUUUAUUUUGGGAUUGUUGACCACUUGUGUCAUAUGCGAUGAGAAAGUAUAUUUUUAAAAAAUAUAAUUUUUUUCUAUAUAUCACAAUGAGUGAAAAAAGAAAUAAAUAUAUUUUUCUACAUUUUUUACCUCAAUUUUAUUUUUAAUUUUUUUUAAAAAUAAAAAUGAUACUUUUAAAUUAGACCUUUGUUUCCUAACUCGUACAAUUCGGUUUGACUGUAACGUUAGGUCAGCUUUCAAUGCCAAAUAAAAAGGCCCUUAACCCCAAAGGAACCCAGAAUCCUACCUGGUAACACGCGGUCGGGUUACGAAGGGUCCCCUCCACUCUUCGACUACGAGCGUUUACGUUCGAACCACUCCCUCACUGAUGGCGUGCUCACCUUCUCUGCGACCCCGCCUCCUCUCUUCCUUCUUCGGAGACCGCAUCCUCUACUCCGCAGUGCCGCUCCGCUCCUUUCUCCACCUUCACGCUGGUCCUUUCUGCCCAUUUCUCUUUCACUUAUUAGCAAUUCAUUUGUAUUCAUCUUUAAAAGUUUAAGUUGUCAGAGAACUAUGUUUCAGUAUUUUAUAUUGGUAAAAAUGUACAGAACUUUUCUAAAUUAUGAAUCAUAUUUUAAUUUUACUACUUAAUCUUUUAAUUUGUUUGAUUUGAGCUGGCAAACGAUGCUUUGACUUCAAAAUUUAAAAUAGUUACUUAUUUUAAUAAAUAAUUUGCAUGAAAUAUACUAACUAAACUUAUAAAGAUAAACAAUUCAUUCAAAUUUUAAAGUCAAAGUAUCGUUGACUGAGUCAAAUCAAUUAAAUUAUAAGGUUGGGUAGUCAAAUGAAAAUGGUUCUAUAUGUUUUACUUUUUAUAUUUAAUCUCCUCUCGCAUCUAGCUCAGGGAGCCUGAUGCGUACUCAAGACAUCGUAUUCUUAAUAUUAUGUUAAAUAAUGUGAAAUAAAGUCACAUAAACGUGCUUUUAUUUGAAAAAAAAUAAAUAAAUUGGUCUUCAAAAUUAAGCUAGAGCUUUGCUCAUUUGCUAAUGAGAAUCUAUAGAAAAAGUUGACAUAGCUGUUUCUCGUGGUAAGUUUAAUAAGUGCCAAUUUAAUCUUUGCCAAAGAAAUUUCUGUGGUAGAUAAUUAACUGCUAUAAUGGCUCUGUAUAUUUGGCCCUCUUUUCUUUUGGCAGGAAAUAAGCAAGCAUCAGUGCAGUUGUCCAGAACUUUGUGCAAUUUAGCUGAUCUUCUCUUUAAUAGAAGGUAUGCAUUCUGCAUCCAAAGCAACGAAAAAAUUUACCUCUGGUCCAGAUGUUGAGUAUGUGCAUAGUAAUAGCAGUAGUUAUUAGGGUAUCGAUUGAAGUAUUAAAAUAUCGAACCAAUUUAAUCUCCUUGUUUUAGGUGGUUUAUAUGUAAAGAUAAAAAAAAAAAAAGAUUACCUAAUUGUAUCGCACGGUCGAGCUGAUUUACAUGAAUAAGUUUCUUACGAUCAUAAGAAUUGCCAUUCUUAUUGCUGUCUUCUAAAAGGACUAAAGUAGUUAAAUUGCAAUCUGUAUUUUAUUUUUUUUACUUUUUCCUCAGUUUUUUAGUUGUUGAUUUUGCAGAGAUAAGGAUGACUUGUUAAAUAAUAAGCGGAAACGUCUGCAACCUGGGAACGUUUCUCCUUGUCUAGAAGUUCCUGAUCAUAUACCUCGGCCUCCAUAUGUAAAUUCUCGUCAAUCACCUGGAAUCGCUUUCGGACCUGAAAUUCAUGACGAAAGGGGAAUAGAAUGCAUGCGAGCUUCUGGACGGCUUGCUGCUCAAGUUUUGGAGUAUGCUGGGAAUCUUGUUAAGGUAAUGUUGAUUACUACAUAGUUGUAAACCUGAUGUCUUAUGUUUUUCCUGGCUCUUUUCAUUCAUUUAACCAUAGUUGUUUGUGUACUUAAUGAAUGAUAGACUUUUAUGUUAUGUAAUUAAAGAAAAAAAAUGCAUGCAAGUGACGUUUGAAGAGAUGCAUGAACAUUUUGUGAUAUAUCUAUCUUCAGUUUCCACUUUAGCAGCUUACGUUACCCUUAUAGAAUUCAAUCUUCUCAUUCUCUUUCUAUAGGCAUAUACUGUCCUGGUAAUAUAUUUGAUAUGGUAUUGUAUACAUUGUGAAUGCAAAAAUGCAAACCACAUUAUAAAAACUCACAUAGGGUAGAGUCAAAUAGAUUCUAAAAGCUUUUGUGAAGUACGGAAUUAGGAAUUCCAUGUUUGGAGCCUAAAAUUUGGAUGCUAGGUUAACAGUUGCUUGUUUGUCCGAUAGAAGUGGCAGCCAACCAGUUAAUAGGAACGGGUCGGCCUGUUUGCAGUAUAGAUUUUUUUGAACUUUUACCGUGUUUAUUUUCUUUAAAAUCAACUGAUUACUUGGGGACUAAUGAUUGCUCUUGAAGCCAAAAGAAUCUUCCAAAGAGUUGAAAAAAAACAAAAGAGAUUUAGAGAAGGGAAGAUUUUGGUUUCAUAUGAAAUAAACAAAAGUAGGCAGGGGGAGAGGGAGAGGAACAACUAGCAUAGUUUAUUCUGAUUAUUAUACUUACCACUUUUAAAUGUCAAAUAUAAAUAUUUUCUCUAUCGGCAGCCAGGUACAACGACUGACGAGAUUGACAAAGUAGUACACCAAAUGAUCAUCGACAAUGGAGCAUAUCCUUCACCUCUUGGCUAUGGUGGCUUCCCAAAGAGUGUUUGCACAUCAGUAAAUGAAUGUAUUUGUCAUGGAAUACCAGAUUCACGUGCACUUGAGGUUUGUUCUUUCUUGCUUUGUUUUAACUUAAUAUCACUUUCAUACUGACAUGAUCUAGUGUGCAGGAUGGUGACAUUAUCAACAUUGAUGUUACCGUCUAUCUCAAUGUAAGUCCACCAUAAUGUUCCUUUAUAUUUACUUUUCAUUUGCAUCUUGGUAUGUUCGGCCAAUACUUGAAAGUGUAUCAGCACCAUUUUGCAGUCCUAAUUUUGAUUUUAGUCCCUUAAUACAACAUCAUCUUGCUCAAAGUGAGAAUAGGAGGAAAAUCUGGCACUUAUCUUACGACUCCAAGUUGCUCCUUAAUAUCUUGCUGCUGUGUGGAACGGUCAUUAGAUAUUUGGACAGCAUUCUUAACUCCUAUCUGUUCUUGUAGGGUUAUCAUGGUGAUACAUCUGCCACAUUUCUUUGCGGUGAUGUCGACGAGGGAGCUAAGAAAUUAGUAAAGGUGAAGACGUGAAUUAAUAUAAUUUUCUUUAAUAUUUUUAACCGCAUGCUUUUUCAGACAAAUUUAUCCUUAAACAAUCACCAACAAUUGCAUAACAUCAGAACAAGUGAAUCGCGAAACAUAUUGUUUUUGCCUUUUUUUCCCCUGUUUCUGGAAUUUCUUAGGUGCUUCUGGGUGAAUUGUAGAUGGGGAGGAUACUAUCUUUAUGAUUUUGGAUUUUGCAUUUGAGAAAUGUUGUUUUGUUGUCUUUAGGAACCCAUAGUUGUUAAAAUGAAUCAGAGCACCAGAAAUGUCCCGACUCUCCAUAGAUAAUAUUUGAUGAUGCGACCUUUUUCAUUUUGUACUUAUUCCAAAAACGAAUUCCACUUCUUGGUUCUAGUAUACUGCAGUCAAGUAAGAACAAAAGAUGACUUGUAAAUUCACCACAAAGAAAUAACGGUGUUGUUCUGAUAUUCUCGAUGCGUCCUACUGUAAGGUAGAGUCCUUGAAACAGCUUCCAUCGCUAUUGUUCAUAUUUUAUUUCUGUGCAAUUGUUUAAUUUGUCUAGCAUCUUUUGGAAAAUUUUGACUUCCUUUUUUGCAUCAAGAGUGAUCUUAAUUAUCUUUCUCCUUUGUUUAUAUUUUUUCCCAGUUUCUUGUUGUAUUUUUACAUGUUGUCAUUCAUAUUCCUAAUAGUGUUAAAUGGAAUAUGACCAUAGUUAUAAUUGCUAUGUAAAUCGGCCAGUUACUAUUUUGUCUCUGAAUUUGGAUUAUAAUCUUGCAAUUAAAAGACAGUCUCUGAGCGCAUUAUUUAUCUUUUUUGGAGCAAAUAAUGACAUCAGUAUAGUUCAGGUAACAAAAGAAUGUCUUGACAAGGCAAUAUCGAUAUGUGCUCCGGGAGUGGAGGUCAACCGCAUUGGGAAAACCAUACAGUAUGUACUUUGAGCAUGAACUAUUAAUUUCAAUAUGUGCUCUUUAUGUAUUGAUUACGUUCUGUGUCCGCAUUUUUGGGAACAAUCAAUAAGUGCUUUUUAUGUAUUGAAUAUAUUCUUAAUGUCCACAGUUCUGGGAACAAAGUAAUCGUAAGUUUAACAAAUCAAGUGUUUUCAAGUGAUCAUGCAGAUAAAUUUCGGUUUGGUGUAGUUCGACAAUUUGUUGGUCAUGGAGUUGGGCGAGUGUUCCAUGCUGAUCCUGUUGUUCUUCAUUACAGUAAGCUCUGAAAGCAACAAGGAUGCCUUUUUUCUUGUUUUAAAGCCCAUCACACAGAUCAAGUAAAUAUAAUAAUCUAUUUAUCUUCUUUGUGCAACUUAGCAUUUUUAUCAGAUCCAGAAUGUACAGAACAUGUUAGCUGAACUGCUUAUUUGACUUACUAUAGCUGUCUAGUGUUAGAGCAUAAUAUUUUCCCAUGUAUAACUAAUUUAGGGUCAUAAAUAUGUAGAUCAUGUUCUUUGACAUUUUGUAUUGUAUCGUUAUUUUAGCAAUCAAUAGCUCUCAUCUUUGGUGUAUGAUGCUCCAUACUAAUAUUUUAUGCGAAAAUCAGAAUAAACUUUAUUCUCUUCUGUUUUUUAAUUCAAGAAAAAAAAAAAGAAAUCUCUUCUGUUUGGUAUAUGUUUAGCUUAUCUGGUAACUACAUAUUCCAGCUUUGCAUCAUUAUGAUUGUUCUGGAUGUAUCUGAUUCGGGAAUGAUAUUGGUUGGUUAUUUUGUAUAACAUAUUUUAUAUUAGAGAAAUUGGAAAGGGCGUUGUAUAUAUUGAAUUUUGUUUGGUAGCUACAAAAGUUAUGCUCAACUGAAGCACGUAGCCUGGCCAGAACAGAGACCAACAAGCAGCAGUUCAAUUUUGAAAAUGAUAGCAUAACUUGGGAAGGAUUGGAAGUGCUCCUUUUCCUAGGAGAACAUGCCAAUCUCUGUAUUGAAUCAGCUUUUGGUUUUAAAGCUUAUGCUGUGCUCUCUCUUUUGCAGGAAAUAAUGAAUGUGGACGCAUGGUAUUAGGUCAAACAUUUACAAUAGGUACUCCUAUUAACUCUGUUUUGUAUUUGCUAUUUAUCAAAUCAUGCAAUUAGUCCUUUGAUCAACUUGUAGUAUCAGUCCUUUCUAAAGUUUCAUUAGAUUUAUGGAAGAAUUCAUAAGAUCACUUGAAAAGAUGUUAAUCCCUCACUUUCAUCCAAGCAUUUGAGACAAGCCGCUUCAUAAUAAGAUGCUGAGAUUAGACUUAAUCUCCAAAUUCUGCCUCCUAAUAGCCCAUAAAGGUGCUCUAGUUUUAGUUAUUGAUGUCUGCAGCUCUGUCGAAUUUAGUUCUUGGGAAUAUUCUGGCGUUUUUAGUGGGUAAAGUCGUAUGGUCCAUAUCAUUUGCUUCACUUUCACUUUCAUGUACCUUAAAUAAAGACAAUGUUGUUUCGAUCAGCAUCUAUCAAUUAGUUUGCAACUUCGAAAACUUUGAGCGAUGUUUGCACAAGUUUACUGUUUGAUUGAUUGCAAAUUUGGAGGAAACUCGAAUAAAUAACUUCUAUGUAAGACAAUAGGAACUCACAUAGCCUGUUUUGAUUUAUAAUGCAGAGCCCAUGCUAACAAUGGGGAGCACAAAUCCUAGGAUAUGGGCCGAUAAUUGGACCGCGGUGACAGAAGAUGGGAGCUUGUCGGCGCAGUUUGAGCACACGAUAUUGAUUAUAGAAAAUGGGGCAGAAAUACUUACAAAAUGCUAAGAUUUGUGAACCCUGAACAAUUUAUCCUCCCUUUAUUUUUCUUUUAAUUAUCGAACAAGCUAUAUUCAUUGCAAAAGCAAUUGCUACUCCCUGGUGGGUCAUUUAUUGAAAUUUGAAAUUUGAGUCGCUUUCACUGAGGAGACUCAAUGCGAACUCAUUUUUCCAUGGAAGAUCUCGUCUUAUUAGAGUUAAGGAUUGAUCAUACUUGCUAUGAGUUCCGUGCUCGAGGGCGGUCGCUCCCCCUCGGGCGAUGCGCUCUGGAGUUUUGCAUCACGGGUUGGAGUAAACUCGAGGACGGUCUUAGCGGGAGGCAGCUGAGGGCCCGCGAUGAUGGACUUAAUGUGGGCAAGUUAAUGUGGCGAAACCCCCAGGUUAGCCGUGAGAUUAAAGGACAAAGAACAAAGAACAAAGAACAAAGCUUAAAGAAUAAAGAGUAAAGAACAAAGAACUUCCAUACUUGCAUGAUUUACGUUGAGCAUAUUCCUUGCUUUAUUGUUCAGGCAUAUUAGCAUCAUGAUUAUAGUUGGGCUACUAUUCUACUUAUCCUUUCUAUUAUGCCUGAGUUAGUCCUAGUGGGAAAGUCGGUGAUGUUGGGGCCGAAUCCACUGGGAACUUCGUUGUAGUUCUCACUCGACUAAUUCCACAGAGUCGGGACUGAGCGAGCCGGCGAGCGACCGCGGUAAAGGUAUCGCACCUUAGUCAGAGGCCACCAGAGUUGGGUUUACAUUUUGUAGUAACGUUCCCUUACUUCAUCUUUUGUACUUGAAGAUGUUUAAAGUAAAGAAAAAGAAUGUAAAGUUUUAUUUUGAGGCAAUGUGAUGUAAAAAGAAAUGAUGAAAAGUAUGUAAAGAACUAUGAAUGCAAUGUAUGUGAUCAAAAGUUGUAUCAUAAUACUUGAGUAGAUGUUUAGUUUCCUUUCUUUAACUCAUAGCUAUUGCUUACCCUCAUGUAAGCCGUUUGUGUAUGUUUUCGCUAGUGCACUUUUGUUUGAAAAUUGUACAUGUGAUGAGCCUUGGGCGGACAGGAAAAAUUCUGUCCGUUCAGCGUUUGUUUGACGUGCUCGGGUCGGCCCAAAUUGGUAUCGGUUUCGGGGCGUGACAGAUAUUGUGGUAUCAGAGCCUAGAGUGAAAGAAUAGGAAUGGACCUAGAGACCCUUAGGAUUGGAAGACCUUAAGGAUCUAGGAAACGUGAGUGACGUGGAAUUAAAAUUAGUGAAAGCAUGUGAUUGGGGUAAGUUGGGACGUCUCUAAUGUGAUUAGAUGCUAAGUUUAAUUUUUAUUUGUUUCCUACUCCUUGUUUUGUGUCGGGCGGCCGACGACAUAAUGCUUGGGGCAAGAAUGAAUGCAUAAGUUGCUUUCACCGUAUUGGGUAUGGUCAAGUAAUGUUGGUCAUGUAGCUAAUGCGAGUUGCUUCUUUUCAGGAAGCAAUGGCACCUCGUGGACGACCACAGCAAGGUCGAUGCCGGAGGAGCCGAGUGCGGAGACCGAGCGAUCCGGAGCGAGUAGCGACGGAGAGCUUAGGGAGCAAAUGGUUGCGCUCAUUGGAGUAGUGCGACAGCAAGCGGAGUUCGUGUGAAGCCAAGGGGAGCAGAUCCAGAGGCUCCAAGAGGCUAUUGAGCGACAACAGGCGGCGGCGAUGCAGGCGGGUGCCGGACCUUCUGCGCCCCCUGUUGCGGUCGAGGGUUCGGCGGAGCCGGUUGCGGCUGUGCCAGUUACGACGGUGCCGGCUGGAUCGGGAACCUCAAAUCCCGAUAGUGCGGCAGUUGAGGCGGAGCGGGAGCGCACGCUGACGGCGCUCAUCCAGCUCCAGAAGUUCAACCCACCUGUCUUUGAAGGUGGCAUGGUGGAGCCGGCGGUUGUGGAGUCGUGGAUCGACUCGAUGGAAACGCUCUUCGAGGACCUCAAUACCUCGGAGAAAGACAAAGUGUAUCUCGCCACCUAUUGUCUUGAGAGGGCGGCAAAGGUGUGGUGGAAGCGAAUUAGGGGAGAUCGACCUACCGAUCUUCCGCUUAUGUUUUGGGAGGAGUUCAGAAGAGCGGUGUUCGCGAACUACUUCCCCGACACGAUGAAGCGGAGACUACAAGAGAAGUUGCGACAGGGCGACCGAUCGGUGGGAGAAUAUGAGCAAGAGUUCUCUCACAUUAUCGACUGCAUUCCCAAUGUUGUUAGAGAUGAUCGUGAUCGGGUUGAUUGGUUCUUGCGAGAACUCCAGCCGAGAAUUUAUGAAAAGGUGCAGAUCUUGAAGCUAACGACCUUUGCGGAGGUCUUUGAUAGAGCAUUGUGGGCGGAGCAUGGUAGCGCCUAUGUGCGUAAAAAACGGGAGGCUAUGGCCGAGAGCAGGGACAAGGGCAAGAAGCGAACAGCGGGUGGUGCCGGGGGCCGGCCAAAUGCUAAGAAACCCCCUCGGUAUCCCCGACAACAAUCGAGGAACUGGAGACCACCUCGGUGCGUCAUUUGUGGCGGUGAGCACCGAGUGUCGACUUGCCCGCAGUGUGACGGUAAGUGUUUCAAGUGUGGCCAACCGGAACAUCUUAUCCGGGAGUGCCCGAGCUGGACGUCGUCUGCGCCGACAGCGGCGUCAGCACCGUCUACCCCGAGACAGCUUGCGGGGUUGCCACGAGCAAUGUCGGCUGGGCGUGCGUCAUCAUCGCGUCAGCCGAAGGGAUCGAGAUUUUGGAGUCUUUGCCGCUCAGGUGGAGGAGCAGUAGCCUGCAGCACCCGACGACGUCAUGAUAGGUAUAAUUGUGAUUAAAGGCACUAGAGCUAGAGCAGUAUUUGAUACAGGCGCAUCUCAUUCAUUCAUUAGCGCAUCAUUUGCUCGAACUCAUGACUUAGAAAUGGCAUAUAGUGAGGACUAUUGGUGGGUGAACGCCCCAGAACAUUCGUUCAGUGUCCAUGAUGAGUGUUUGGCGUGUCCAGUGCAAAUAGGCCAUUGGAUUAUGCCGAUUGAUCUACUAGUGCUAGAUCAGAUGUGGGGAUUUGAUGUUAUCUUGGGGACCAACUGACUCUCCAAGUACUAUGCGGUUAUAGAUUGUGAAAGUAAGGUGGUCACUUUUCGUGAGCCUAAUCAAGAAAAGUUCGUGUACUAAGCGUGAAAGAGUAGGCGCUUCGCGACGACCAUAUCGUCUGUAAGGGCGAAGAGGAUGAUCAAAGAAGGGUGUAAGGUCUAUUUGGCAAUUAUGGUCGAUGCUCGAAAGGAGUACCCAGAGUUGGGAAAUAUUCAGUAGUGUGCGAGUACCCGGAUGUGUUUCCGACGGAGUUACUGGGACUGCCACCGGAUCGGAAAGUUGAGUUUGUCAUUGACUUAAUUUUCGGGGCGGAACCAGUUUCGAAGGCUCCGUAUAGAAUGGCACCGGUGGAGUUAAAAGAGCUAAAAGGCCAACUACAAGACUUGCUCGAUAAAGGCUUCGUGAGGCCGAGCGUGUCACCGUGGGGGUCUCCGGUGCUAUUUGCGAAGAAAAAGGAUGGUACACUUUGACUCUGUGUAGAUUAUCGUGAGUUGAACAAAGUAACGAUAAAGAACAAGUAUCCGUUGCCAAAGAUUGACGAUUUAUUCGAUCAGUUGCAAGGGUUCAGAGUGUAUUCGAAAAUUGAUCUCCAAUCGGGGUAUCAUCAAUUGAAAAUUAGGCCGAAGGAUGUGCACAAGACGGCGUACCGUAUGCGGUAUGGCCAUUAUGAGUUCACGGUAAUGCCGUUUGGGUAUACUAACGCCCCGGCAGCAUUUAUGGACUUGAUGAAUCGAGUCUUCAGGCCGUUGUUUGAUCGAUGCGUCGUGGUGUUUAUAGACGACGUAUUGGUUUACUCAAAGAGUGAAGAGGAGCAUGAAGAGCACUUGAGAGCUGUGUUACAAAUACUCAGACAGGAGAAACUCUAUGCAAAGUUGAAGAAGUGUGACUUUUGGCUAAAGAAGGUCAUAUUCUUGGGCUAUGUGGUGUCGGGCGACGGAGUGUCGGUAGACCCGAAGAAGGUAGAGGCAAUAAAGGAUUGGCCUCGCACGACAAAUGUAGCGGAGGUCCGCAAUUUUCUUGGACUUGCGGGCUACUACCGGCAGUUCGUAGAGGGGUUCGCCAAGAUAACCACUCCACUAACGCGCCUCACGCAUAAAGGAGUAAAGUAUGUUUGGAGCGACGAUUGUGAUCGGAGCUUCGAAGGGUUAAAGAACAGGUUGCGUCGACCCCGGUGCUUGCCUUGCCGACUCCGGGGGAGACUUUUGUGAUGUACAGUGAUGACUCGUACGUUGGUCUCAGGUGUGUACUAAUACAAAAUGGGCGGGCCAUUGCUUAUGCAUCGCGCCAAUUAAAGAACUAUGAGAAGAAUUACCCGAUUCACGACCUCGAGUUAGCCGCGGUAAUCUUCGCGCUAAAGCUUUAGAGGCAUUACUUGUAUGGUGAGCAUUGUGAGGUCUACACAGAUCACAAGAGUCUCAAGUAUCUGUUCACCCAGAAAGAAUUGAACAUACGGUAAAGAUGGUGGUUGGAGUUGUUGAAGGACUAUGACGUUACUGUACUAUACCACCCUGGGAAAGCCAAUGUUGUGGCCGAUGCUCUAAGUAGAAAAUUGGCGCAGAACUUAGCGAUGGCAAUUACGCCUCAACCGCUAUUGCAAAAGGAGAUGCAAAGGCUUGGGUUGGAAGUGGUCGCGCCGGGAGUGCUAGCUACACUUGCCGCAUUAGUUGUGCAACCGACCCUAUUGGAAAGAAUUAAGAAUCUUCAAGCUUCGGAUCCUUAUCUUCAAAAGGAGCGGAGUGAAGUUGAGAAUGGUAGUGCCGAGGAUUUUGGCAUUGGAGCCGACGGCGCACUUCGAUUUCGAAAUCGAUGGUGUGUGCCUAAAGAUGAUGAGUUACGAAGGGCGAUCAUGCAGGAAGCACACCAAUCUCUCUAUAGCAUACACCCGCGCGGCACUAAAAUGUAUAAGGACUUGAAAAAGCAUUAUUGGUGACCGGGUAUGAAGAAAGAUAUUGGGGAGUUCGUGGCGCAAUGUUUAACGUGCCAAUAGGUGAAAGCCGAGCGCCGAUUUUCGGCAGGAAAGUUACAAAGGCUAUCAAUAUCCGUUUGGAAAUGGGAAGAUAUAGCGAUGGACUUUAUUACCGGUUUGCCUCGAUCACAAGGCGGACACGAUGCGAUAUGGGUGAUAGUGGAUCGAUUGACAAAGUCGGCACACUUCUUGCCGAUACAUACUACGUGGUCAGGAGACAAGCUAUGUAACACACUGGACUUUCGGAAAUGGUAAGGUUCGAGUGUUUGAUCUGUGUUCCGAAUUUUUUCAGAUAUUCUGAAGGGUCGUUGACAAUGUUCCGACCUAUGGCUUGUAUCCCGAGAUUUGUGAUUUAAAACUUUGCACCAAAACCCAAAAAGUUUGAUUAUUGGUGUGCUCUCGGUUAGCCUUCAGCAGGCUGUGUACCGUUACAGGGUUGAUGGCUGUACCGGUACGGAGUGAUGGUUGUACCGGUACGUGGGGCCGUGUACCGGUACACAGGCAGCUUCUCAGCCAACUCGAGGCUCGGGUUUGGCAUUUUCGUGGGGUGUGUACCGGUACGCGACCUCGUGUACCGGUACGCAGUGCAGUCCGCAGACUGCUUGAACUGUAGGGGUGUUUUUUUGAUUGUAACUUCUCUAUAUUAGUACCCCACGCCCCCUGGUAUUCCUUGAGGUUGGAACCAGUGGAGAGGAAGGUAAGGGAGCUCUUUAUUCUCCCUCUUUGAUUUUCUUUGUUUUGUUGGGAUUUUUCGAGGUUUAAUCCUCUCUUUUUGCUCCUUUUUGCUACGCGGUGCUAUUUCCACCAUGGGAGAAAGCUUGAGGUUUGCAGUUGAGCUUGUUGAAGGAGAGAUCUUCAACCCUAGUUGACUUCUAGCCUAGUUGGGAGCUUCUAUAAAGGUUAGUAACAUGUUUCUCUUAGAUUCAUGUUUUACUUGAUUUUUGUUUAGAAACCCUGGAAAUGAGGAUUUGAGGCUUGAUUUGGAGAUUUUUGACCUAGGGCUUUUAGAGCUCGAUUGAUCGGUUUAGAACCUUCCUCUAGAUUGGAUUGGAAGGGUUCUAACUCCCAUUUGGAACUUGAGAGGGAUUCUCUACACUUAGGUGAGAUAUUAUCCUUUUCUUGAGUUGGUUAAUGUUUAACCUAUUCGUUGUUCGUAACGUUUGUGUAUCGCUCCUACUUUAACCUUUAGGGGGUUAGGAAGCUUGUGGGCACCUUCGUUGGCGCAAACGAAGGCCGUGUGGAACUCUCGGUGGGUUUAGCCUCACCAAAAUGGGAUAAAUCAUCCCUAUAAUGGUUUUACUUUUCGUAAAAUGAAAAUGCAUGCAUAUUCUUGCUAGAUAGAAUAUUUGAGAAUUUUAGAAUGCUUAAUAUGUCAUGCCCCGAGCCCGCCUCUUUGGUCGGAUUCGGGCACGCCAACAGACAGCCGAACGGAAAGGAUUUUUCUUGUACCGCGGACAGAGUCUCCCUGUACGUUCAAGGCGUCGCAAUCAAUACAAUAUACGAAGUUCCAACUAGUAACACAUUUCAACCAAAGAUUGUAUAAGGAAGUAUCAAAACAUAAAUCUACUUACUAUUACAAGCAUUCAUCUCACAUAGUAUAUUUUUACAUUCUUAGGUUACAUCACAUUUGAUUCCUUGAUUCUUACUUCCAAAUACAAUCAAAUUAUUACAAAUUUAUUACUAGUUUGAUACAUCUUGUUCUUUCAUUUUCUAUAUCCCUAAGUAGCCGACUCAGGGUAUUGCUACCUGGUCUCUGUGGUAGGGCGCUAUCUACGAAGUUACGCCCUUGCCUCGCGACGCCGCGCCGCUCUCGUGCAAACCUGUAACACUCCAAAACAACGUGGGGUGAGAACCAACUCCAUGGUUCCCAAUGGGUACGACCACCCAAGAGAAGAGCUCGACCAUCAGAUCCAAAUGAGGCAAACAACAUGUUAGUCCAAUAGAUAGAUAUGAAAUCAUGCAGCUAACAUUACCAUACUUUUGCCUCACAACAUGCAAUAUGUAAAUUAUGCAACUCAUAUAAGUAGAUUUAUUGUUUCUACUCUUUAUUCUUAUCCAUUCUUUACUUUUAGUCAUUCUUUACUUUACUGGCUAUUCUUUAGCAUUUGCCUUUCUUUAUUCUUUAUUACUUGCCAUUUUUUAGCAUUAACCUUUCCUUAUUCUUUAUUCUUUAUUCUUUAUUCUUUAUACUUUACUAAGAGUACUCACACCUUAGUAAUAUUAUACACAUUAGCCUUUCUUUCCUAGGAUUACUUUACCUUAGCUAACUAUGCCAUCCGACUCGGUUUUAAGUCAAUCAACUGCGUAUAGACCGCACUCUGUCCGGCUCGAGGCGAAGGAACUCUCACAUGCACCUCAGCCUUCAAUCACAAACCACAUCGCCCAACGGGUCGCCUAGAGCUGCGUACACCCGUGGUCAGGGAUCCCCCGGUGGGAGAGGGACAUACCGCAUAUGCCCGCAGCCGAGAUCCCCGAUAGGGAGAGGAACAUGCCACAUGCACCCUAGCGCUCAUGAUUCUUGCUCAAUAACAAGCCUCGAAGUUCUUCCGGUGGGAGAGGAACACGUCGCAUGUACCCGCGGCCAAGAACUAUCGAGCUUGUAUGCUGCACUAGCAGCCGCUGCACUAGCAGUAGGGAUUCCGGAAUCCACUUUACAUAACUCAAGGGUUAGUCUCACCCUAUGUUAUCGACCUAUCUAGGUCCAAGUCUUUACUCAACCUAAGUUAAUACAUUAGGUUCAAUGUCAUUAUCUUCUUAGCCUAGAUUCAUUAACACUAGGUUCAAUAUUCUUAAUCACCUAGGUUCAUUUAACUCUAGGUUUCAUGUCACUACAUUCACAACCUAGGUUUACUUGACUCUAGGUUUCGUGUCACUACAUUCACAACCUAGAUUUACUUGACUCUAGAUUUAAUGCCACUCAUGUUCUUGUUAUCCUAGUUGUCGACACCUAGGAAUCAUACUUGUCAUGCUACUCGUGAAUAACCUAUGUUAAAUGACACUAGGUUCAAUGCCACUCGUCAUCCUAAUUAUUUAUACUUAGAAUUCUUUACAUAUGACACUUGUCGAGUUCUUUACUUUACUUAGAGUUUAUUGACUCAAAUUCAACCUUUAUGUCGUACUAGCAUAUUCUCAUAUUAGGAAUCAUGCAUACAUUCUUUACUAACAUUUCAAUCAUGCACUUGUAUAUCAUCUAGCUCAUAUGUUUAUUCAACAUACAUCACAUACAUGUCUUUAGCGUUUAAUUCAUGCUUCAUCUAGCAUUUCUAUAACAUAUCAUCAUGCAUUGGUUUAGUGUUUUUAUAUUACGUCAAUAUGCAUUCUUUUAACAUUUCCUAUUAUGACAACAUGCAUUCCUUAGCAUACAUUUUAUACGUUCAUUACUUGGCACAUAUCACAUGCAUUACUUAGCAUCUAUCACAUGUAUUUAUUCAUUAACAACUUUAUCAUGCAUUCUUACUUAGCAUUUCUACUACCACCAUGCAUCAAUAGUGAAAUACAUUAUCCUUUGGCAUGAAAGCGACCUAAUCGCUUCGGUAAACACAACCCACCUUUUAACGCAUUCCAAUUGCUUGUAGUCACUUGCAAUCGGCCUCCCGCGGCAUCCGUGACCCGGUUUGGCCCGAACUCUUGUGCGACCAUCCGAACGGCCACCAAUCCGCGAUUCGUCUGUUCGGGAGUUUAUUCCCCGACACCACGAUACUUCUGAUCCGUUUUCAUGAUUUUUGGAGGCUUAUCCCACGUGCUGCGGCUAUCUGUACCAAAAAAGACUGUUUCGUUAAUAACUUCGCGUACACUAAUCGGAUUGUCGAACCGAGUGCACCAACGCGUUCGUUAUACCCCCAAUUAGGUUUGUAUAGGGUCAAUUGAGAUCAAAACCCCUCACAAGCAAAAGCCCUCUUUUUGGAGCGCUAAAUCACCAUUGUUGCAAUUAGCUUCAUACAAGCUAUUAAUCUCACAAUAAAUGAGAUCAACUACUCUUAGAGCACAAAUAAACAUCAUCUAGCUAAGUUCAAAGAGGUCUAAGCCAAGCUCUAGCCAUUCACCAUGAGAGACUCAAAGAGCUUACCUCAACUAGCUAGCAAGAAGAUGAAGAAGAUGAUGUUGGUCCUUCUCCAAGCUCCAAUCUCCACCUUCUCCUCCUAAAUCCACUCUUAGAGAGAAAGAGGGAGAGCUCCUAGAGAGAGAGGAGAGAGCAUCUCUCUCUACCAAUAUGUGUGUGUGUGUGUUGGAAUGAGGAGGAAGAAGGAGUAGAGUCAAAGCCCUUCAUAUAUGCCAACUUCCCCUUAAUUACCAACCUGCCACUGCUCAUUUUGGGCAUUUUUCGGGCUCAGGGACCGGUCCUUGGACUUGAGGGAUAUGUCCCCGUAGGGUCCAAAAUUCCAGCAUUUAGGAUUUAGCCAAAUUUUCAGCUUUUUCACCGUUUUCGCUCCGUUUUCGCUCUUUUUCGCUCGUUUGACAUCCGAUUCGUUUCAAAUCGAACCGAGACUCUCCAAACAUAUUUUCAUGCAUGUUUUCAUCAUCUUUUCAUCAACGCUAAUGCCGGAUUUAGUCCAUGGUACAACAUAGCCUUUCGGGUCCCGUUUUCGCGCCCUAUGCGCACGAAGCACCCGAAUGCUCCCGAACUUCGCCGGAAUGAUUCCAACGGCUUUCUAAGCUAAGAUACAUCGUAACUUCAUGAAUUAGAAGUUCGGUACAUUACAUUCUCCACCCCUUAAAAAGAGUUUCGUCCGCAAAACUCAAUCCACACCUCAAUUCAGCUCCUCGAGCAAUUGAGGGCACUAAUGCAGUUUUUCACUUCGGAAGGGCUUUACUCUCUUUGGAACUAUCCAAGAGGACUACUACGGAGCUCAUGAUACUAAACGCAUCCAACUUUGCAAGGCACAUCUCACAAAGUGCAUUACGGUCUCUGUCAUUCUAGGGGGUAGCGCAAGUCGAAACUUGACGACUCUACGCGCUCCAACACCGCUUGCCACUCGGCACACAAAGAACUCUUUCUUGCAUUCACUUUCCUUCAGGGAAUGCAUUUCAACUCGAUCACCGACAUUGCCUAAAAGCAAUAUCACCAGUGCAUUCCUCGUGCGUGCUCUAAUUCCGCACCGACUUUUUGCUCUAAUGUGAGAUGGCCCACUUCGGCACAUCCCCACUUUCCAUCCUCAAAUUUCACGUGGCUUGCUAUUAGCUUAAGGCCUCACCAAGAGCACCUCAUUACCUAAUACCAUAUGGCACGAUCAACAUCAUACCACUUUCGCAACGACUCACACGAACACGUCGUUCGUGAACUCAAGUCAAACUUCCCGAUAAUGCUACUCGCAAAAUCACUUUCCUCGGUUUUUCACAGGUGAGCCGAAGGCCGCCAGUACUACAUAGGCCUAUAGCCUAAACCUGCCUCAACAUACGCGCAGCGCCUCUCGCUCACAAGCGUAGACCCAAUCAUAAUUGGGGCGAAAUUCUCACUUGGGAAUUCGCACACACUCGAACCAGGAGCAACCAAGACCCCAAACCGCAUUAAAUUCUCCGGUUGGGUCACAAUUCGUACUCUCAGCAUACUAUCAAUCGUACUAUAUGCUCUAUCGAGCAAUACGUACCACUAUCGGCUCCUAUGCACCUAGUGCGAGCCACCAGCCCCACGAGUGAUCCAAGGAACGCUUUACACUUCGCAAUGCCCAAGUGCUACUGUUAACAAACUCACUCGGCUGAUCCAUAUUCGUACUCCGUGAGUACCUGUACUCGGGCGUCGUACGCUACGAUGGCAUUCUACACUAAGUCUCGGCUUUGGACAAUCUUGCCGUCGCACAUCGUCCACCAAGCACAUUCUCCUACCUCACAUUGAGGUACAGCUAGGCCCACAGGCCAAACUUGGGUAGUAACCAACCACUCACUCAACAGUGAUUCACUUUCACUGUUCGAUCUACCGAAACAACAUCUGGAAUACUCGAACUGCUCGAGUAUCCACCAGCGUCAUAACUCAACUCUCACAAUCUGCUACACACAUUGCUUUGCGAGUCGGUUCAUCAUUUCCAUCUCUACUACGAGUCUCAUCACCAGACCAUCACUAGCAAUUCGCUAGUGCUACAUAGCUCGCUACCUGCACCAGCAGGUAUUACGCUCUUACAACACGAGCAUGCCCGGGUAUCUAUAUUUACCCGUCCACUUGGUCCUUACUAUACUACUACAUAUAGUAGUAAGUGGCUAUAUGCUCAAUGCAUGCAAUGCACCACUUCAUAUCAUGCAGAAACACAUAACUGCAUUAACUAAACCAUACCUGCCACGACGUCGUCAGCAGCAGGUCCCUCAACCUAGGUUGCGUGUCUGUAGCUACUUUGCACCCGCCGCGGACCCCUCGGUUGCAUCACCGUCAUCGCUCGCUCUCCUGAUCGCGCAGCAGGUGGCACACCCGCCGGCUGUCCCGGAGAGGAAAAAGCCGUCGCCAACGCCAAGGCCCAGCUAUCACCUUGCGGACACUCAUCCCGCAUGUGGCCUGGCUGCCCACAAUGGAUACAUCUUCCAUCACGCAGCGCGCACUGCCGCGCCUGGUGGGUACCACCACAAAUCACACAACCUGGGGAGGAUCGAGUAGAGGACGCUCCGAGUGGUGCCUAGAACUUGACUGCCCACCCGAACUGUUCGACAGUGGCCUCACCCAUCCCAGCUCAUGCUUACGAGGUUCGCGCUCCUCAUGCAUGAAAGCCUCGCCAUGCUCUGCCCACAAGGCUCUGUCUAACACCUCCGCGAAGGUUGUGAGCUUAAGGAUUUGCACCUUCUCGUAAAUCUCCGGUCGAAGUCCACGCAGGAACCAAUCGGCCAUAUCCUUGUCAUCUCGUACCACAUCCGGGAUGCAUCCCACGAUACGGAAGAAUUCUCGUUCGUAUUCCCUAACCGAGCGGUCUCCUUGCCGCAGCUUCCUGAACUUGUCCUGAAGCUUUCUCUUUUCACUGUCGGGGAAGUACGUAGAAAAUAACAAUCCCUAAAACUCUUCCCAAGUCAUGGGAGGAAGACUAGGUGAUCGAUUCCGCCGAAUGCCUUUCCACCACACCUUCGCCGAUUGCUUCAAGCAAUGCACAGCUAGGGGCACCUUGUCUCGCUCCAAUGUGUACAGCUCCUCGAAGAGCGUCUCCAUGGAGUCAAUCCACAUAUCACAAUCCAGGGAUCGACAUUCUCUCCAUUGAAGGUAGGCGGAUCAAACUUUACGAAGGUCAUAAGGGCCGCCAAAGCCCGCUCUUUCUCCGCCUCCACCAAUGCACUUUCGGGAGUCGGAUCGCCCGACCCCGAUGGAACCAUCUCUGCCGCAAGCCCCGCCCGUCCUCGACGAGCCGCAACUGGCGCAGCCACUAGCUGCUCCACGGUCUCCUGGAGUCUCUUGAUCUGUUCUUCCUGGCUCAUGGCAGCCUCCUGCUGACGCUGCACUACGCUCACAAGCACUCCCAAUUGUUCGCGGAGCUCCGAGUCUCCUCUCACUCCGGAUUGCUCAGGGACAUCACUUGUCCUAUCCCGCGUCGAUCUAGCCGAAGAUCGCCUACGCAGUGCCAUCGUUCCCUGAAACAUGACAACUCAAUUAAUUCUCAACCUUCGAGGUCGAGUACGAAACAUUUAACAUUGACUCAAAUCGGGCAAAAGUCAUACAAGGGCGUCUAUUCUCAUCACUCGGUUUCAUGUUGUCGUACGCCCAACAUGAACACACUCGGUUGAGAGUACACCGCACCUUGGAUCUACCUCUAACAUCCACUAUAGAGGUUUACCACAUAACCCAAUCCAUUAUCCUUUUGCCACAAAUUACAAGUUCUCGUCUCUCACGAGCCUUAAUCUCCUAUAGUUUACUAUCCUAGGGUCUCCUAGGUCAAACUAAACCAUUUCUUAUUACUCAUUUUUAAGUUCUUUUUAGGUUCUUUUUAUGCUUUGAUACCAUCUUAUCUGUCACGCCCCCAGCCCGCCUUUUUGAUCGGAUUCGGGCACGCCAACAGACCGCCGAACGGACAGGAUUUUCCUUGUACCGCGGACAGAGUCUCCCCUGUACGUUCAAAGCAUCGCAAUCAAUACAAUAUACGAAGUUCCAACUAGGAACACAUUUCAACCAAAAAUUGCAUAAGAAAGUAUCAAAACAUAAAUCUACUUGCUAUUACAAGCAUUCAUCUCACAUAGUACAUUCUUACAUUCUUAGGUUACAUCACAUUUGAUUCCUUAAUUCUUAUUUUCAAAUACAAUCAAAUUAUUAUAAAUUUAUUACAAGUUUGAUACAUCUUGUUCUUUCAUUUUUCAUAUUCCUAAGCAGCCGACUCAGGGUGUUGCUAUCUGGUCUCUGUGGUAGGACGCUAUCUACGAAGCUACGCCCUUGCCUCGCGCCGCCGCGCCGCUCUCGUGCAAACCUGUAACACCCAAAAAUAACGUGGGGUGAAAACCAACUCCAUGAUUCCCAGUGGGUACGGCCACCUAAGGGAAGAGCUCGACCAUCAGGUCCAAAGGAGGCAAACAACAUGUUAGUCCAAUAGAUAGAUAUGAGAUCAUGUAGCUAACAUUACCAUGCUUUUGCAUCACAACAUGCAAUAUGUAAAUUAUGCAACUCAUAUAAGUAGAUUUAUUGCUUCUACUCUUUAUUCUUAUCUAUUUUUUACUUUUAGUUAUUCUUUACUUUACUAUCUAUACUCACACCUUAGUAAUAUUAUACACAUUAGCCUUUCUUUCCUAAGAUUAUUUUACCUUAACAAACUAUGCCAUCAGACUCGGUUUUGAGUCAAUCAACUGCGGAUAGUCCGCGCUCUGUACGGCUCGAGGUGAAGGAACUCUCACAUGCACCUUAGCCUUCAAUCAUAAACCACAUUGCACAACGGGUCGCCCAGAGCUGCGUACACCCGUGGUCAGGGACCCCCGGUGGGAGAGGGACAUGCCGCAUACGCCCGCAGCCGAGAUCCCCGAUAGGGAGAGGAACAUGCCACAUGCACCCUAGCGCUCAUGAUUCUUGCUCAAUAACAAGCCUCGAACUUCUUCCGGUGGGAGAGGAACACGCCGCAUGCACCCGCGGCCAAGAACUAUCGAGCUUGUAUGCUGCACUAGCAGUAGGGAUUCCGGAAUCCACUUUACAUAACUCAAGGGUUGGUCUCACCCUAUGUUAUCGACCUAUCUAGGUCCAAAUCUUUACUCAACCUAAAUUAAUACAUUAGAUUCAAUGUCAUUACCUUCUUAGCCUAGGUUCAUUAACACUAGGUUCAAUAUUCUUAAUCACCUAGGUUCAUUGGACUCUAGGUUUCAUGUCACUACAUUCACAACCUAGGUUUACUUGACUCUAGGUUUAAUGCCACUCAUGUUCUUGUUAUCCUAAUUGUCGACACCUAGGAACCAUACUUGACAUGCCACUCGUGAAUAACCUAUGUUCAAUGACACUAGGUUCAAUGCCACUCGUCAUCCUAGUUAUUUAUACUUAGAAUUCUUUACAUAUGACACUUGUCGAAUACUUUACUUUACUUAGAGUUCAUUGACUCAAGUUCAACCUUCAUGUCGUACUAGCAUAUUCUCAUAUUAGGAAUCAUGCAUACAUUCUUUACUAACAUUUCAAUCAUGUACUUGUAUAUCAUCUAGCUCAUAUGUUUAUUCAACAUACAUCACAUACAUGUCUUUAGCGUUUAAUUCAUGCUUCAUCUAGCAUUUCUAUAACAUGUCAUCAUGCAUUGGUUUAGUGUUUUUAUAUUACGUUAAUAUGCAUUCUUUUAACAUUUCAUAUUAUGACAACAUGCAUUCCUUAGCAUACAUUUUAUACGUUCAUUACUUGGCACAUAUCACAUGCAUUACUUAGCAUUUAUCACAUGCAUUUAUUCAUUAACAACUUUAUCAUGCUUUCUUACUUAGCAUUUCCACUACCACCAUGCAUCAAUAGUGAAAUACAUUAUACUUUGGCAUGAAAGCGACCUAAUCGCUUCGGUAAACACAACCCACCUUUUAACGCGUUCCGAUUGCUUGUAGUCACUUGCAAUCGGCUUCCCGGGACACCCGUGACCCGGUUUGGCCCGAACUCUUGUACGACCACCCGAACGGCCACCAAUCUGAGAUCCGUUUGUUCGGGAGUUUAUUCCCCGACAUCACGAUACUCCCGAUCUGUUUUCAUGAUUUUUGGAGGCUUAUCCCGCGUGCUGCAGCUAUCUGUACCAAAACAGACUGUUUCGUCAAUAAUUUCGCAUGCACUUGUUGGAUUGUCGAACCGAGUGCACCAACGCGUUCGUUAUACCCCCAAUUAGGUUUGUAUAGGGUCAAUUGAGAUCAAAACCCCUCACAAGCAAAAGCCCUCUUUUUGGAGCCCUAAAUCACCAUUGUUGCAAUUAGCUUCAUACAAACUACUAAUCUCACAAUAAAUGAGAUCAACUACUCUUAGAGCACCAAUAAACAUUAUCUAGCUAAGUUCAAAGAGGUCUAAGCCAUACUUUAGCCAUUCACCAUGAGAGACUCAAAGAGCUUACCUCAACUAGCUAGCAAGAAGAUGAAGAAGAUGAUGUUAGUCCUUCUCCAAGCUCCAAUCUCCACCUUCUCCUCCUAAAUCCACUCUUAGAGAGAGAGGGAGAGCUCCUAGAGAGAGAGGAGAGAGCAUCUCUCUCUACCAAUAUGUGUGUGAGUGUGUGUGUUGGAAUGAGGAGGAAGAAGGAGUAGGGGCAAAGCCCUUCAUAUAUGCCAACUUUUCCCUAAUUACCAACCUGCCACUGCUCACUCUGGGCAUUUUUCGGGCUCGGGGUCCGGUCCUUGGACUUGAGGGACCGGUCCCCGUAGGGUCCAGAAUUCCAGCAUUUAGGACAGCCAAAUUUUCAGCUUUUUUACCGUUUUCGCUCCGUUUUCGCUCGUUUUCGCUCGUUUGGCAUCCGAUUCGUUUCAAAUCGAACCGAGACUCUCCAAACAUAUUUUCAUGCAUGUUUUCAUCAUCUUUUCAUCUACGCUAAUGUCGGAUUUAGUCUAUGGUCCAACAUAGCCUUUCGGGUCCCGUUUUCGCGCCCUAUGCGCACGAAGCACCCGAAUGCUCCCGAACUUCGCCGGAAUGAUUCCAACGGCUUUCUAAGCUAACAUACAUCGUAACUUCAUGAAUUAGAAGUUCGGUAUAUUACAUAAUAUGUGCAUGUUAUGUAUAAAGUAAUUGGAUCUCUAUGUAGUAGAGAACUGUUCAUAUUUGGAACCUUGCAUAUGGUUAGCAUUCUUACAUUUGAUUGAGAUCACGUUGCAUGUAGUGCAUAUGACAUGUAGAUUACACUCUUGGACUUAGAACGCAUGCUUGGCUUGGUUGGACAUGUGGUUAUUGAGUGACAUAGGCUAGAGUGUAUGUAAAUUGUAAGCUAAUGUCAUAAAGCGGCAUUAGGCUUGGACUAGAGAUGGAUUUAGUAAGCUAAUGUCAUAAAGCGGCAUUAAGCUUCGAAUGGUUUUGGACAUAGUGAGAUGAUGCCAUAAAGAGGCAUUGGACAUAGUGAACUUAGUAAACCUUCACUUGAGGCAUAGACUAGACCUAUGGGUUGCUAGUGAGUAUUUCCAUGUUUUAGACAUGAUGACAUAGUGACAAGCCACUGAGACAUAUGCUAUAUUCCGUGUUUUAGACACGAUGACAUAGAGAUAGGCCAUUGAGAUAGUUAUUAUAUUCCGUGCGUUAGACACGAUGACAUAGAGGCAGGCCUUUGGGACAUGUGCUGUAUUUCGGGCUUUAGAUCCGAUGAAACAGUGAUGAACCACUGGGACCUGAGACGGACUUACUCGCUUGCAUGCUAUUGUGCUCAUUCGCACAUACUUGUGAGGGUCGCUCCCUACAAGUCGGCACUUCGGAGAUAGCCAUCGCGACACAUGCUCGCUCGUGCGGGAUUGGGCGCCGAAGUGGGAUGCCGUGGGGGAGGCUCAUUCCUAGAGUGGGGAUGUUGACUAUCACGGGGCCAUUAGGCACGGCACGGGCCAGACAGCCUACGGGUGGGUCUUCAGUCCAGGCAGCCUACGGGCGGGUCUUACAAGAUUGAAACUUUAAAGUAGUGAUAUGCCAUGUGGACGUUGACUAGAACAGUAAACAAUAAGUGAUAAACACUAUUUGAUUGUAUAUCAUAGUUGGAUUCAGUUGACAUUGGGAAUAGUGGUACCCUUAAUUGCCAUGAUAGUACAUACUAGAUAUGUGUUGGACUUUGGGACAUAUAAUAUACUUCGUAGUAUUACCUGUUGCAUCAUAAUAUACUUAGUAGCCAUGAUAGAACAUAAUUGUUAUGCAUUGGCAUAUUUGGAUCAUAUAGAGUAGAUGUACUCCAUUAUUGAUAUCCCGAUUACUUAUGGCAUAGUAGAAUGGCAUUUUACUAUAUGCUUUAUUUACCGCAGUUAAUUUCUGUUAUUCAUAUCUGCUUUUGAUUUGGGCCUAGUGGUGCAGUUGGUGCAUGUCAAUAAUUGUAAAACACUGGACCUUUGCAAAUUGCGAGGUCCGAGUGGUUGGUUGUGUGCUGAGCAAUUCCAGACUUUCUGGUGGGUCGUUGACAGUGUUCCGACCUAUGGCUCGCAUCCCGAGGAUGCCAGAAUUCGCUUUUUGCGAUGACGAUUAGCUCCUCUCGAGCUAGGCAGUUGAUUAGUAGAGGCUGCGUAGCCUAUUUGGCUACUGUCGUGUUGCGGGGCGAUGCGGACGCCCCUAGGAUUGAGGAUAUCCCCGUAGUGCGGGAGUUUGGAGAUGUGUUUCCAGCGGAGCUUCCAGGCAUGCCUCCUGACAGGGAGAUUGAGUUUGUGGUAGAUCUCGUUCCCGCGACUAUCCCGAUCUCAAAGGCACCCUAUAGGAUGGCACCAAUAGAAUUGAAGGAGCUGAAGGCACAAUUGCAGGAUCUUCUGGAUAAGGGUUUUGUGCGACCGAGUGUGUCACCUUGGGGAGCACCAGUUUUGUUUGUAAAGAAGAAGGAUGGAUCACUUCGCUUAUGUGUGCACUAUCGUGAACUUAAUAAAGUCACGAUCAAGAACAAGUAUCCAUUGCCAAGGAUUGACGAUCUAUUUGAUCAGCUCCAGGAAUCUUCUGUAUAUUCCAAGAUUGACUUGCAGUUGGGAUAUCACCAGUUGAGGAUCAAACCUGAGGAUGUGUCGAAGACGGCUUUUAGAACACGGUAUGGACACUAUGAGUUUACUGUUAUGCCGUUUGGGCUCACUAAUGCCCCGGCAGCUUUUAUGGAUCUAAUGAACCGUGUUUUCAAGCCUUAUUUAGACAGUUUGUCGUGGUGUUCAUCGACGAUAUUUUGGUCUAUUCCUGAAGUGAUGCGGAUCACGAGGAACACUUGAGACUUGUACUUCAAGUGCUUCGAGAAAAGAAACUCUAUGCUAAGUUGAAAAAGUGUGAAUUUUGGCUUAGAGAGGUGGCGUUUUUGGGCCAUUUGAUUUCUGGAUCAGGCAUAGCCGUGGACCCGAGAAAAAUUGAAGCUAUCAAGGAUUGGCCGAGGCCGACGAGUGUGACCGAGAUACGGAGCUUCAUUUGUUUGGCCGGCUAUUACCCGACGGUUCGUCGAGGGAUUUGCAAAGUUAUCUACUCCCCUCACGAGACUGACGCAUAAGGGCACCAAGUUUAUUUGGAAUGAUGCGUGUGAAAAAAGCUUCCAAGAGUUGAAGCAGCGAUUGACGACCGCCCCGAUCCUAACCUUGCCGACUGCUGGAGAAGGGUAUGUAAUUUAUAGUGAUGCUUCCUUUAAUGGAUUUGGUUGUGUCUUAAUGCAGGACGGGAAAGUGAUCGCGUAUGCAUCUCGCCAAUUGAAGGAUUAUGAAAGGAAUUACCCUACUCACGACUUGGAGUUGGCGACCAUGGUCUUUGCAUUGAAGCUAUGGCGCCACUACUUAUACGGCGAGCGAUGCGAAGUAUAUACGGAUCACAAAAGCUUAAAGUAUCUAUUCACUCAGAAGGAGUUGAACUUGAGGCAGCGCAGAUGGUUGGAGCUACUCAAGGAUUAUGAUUUGACGAUACUUUACCACCCGGGCAAGGCUAACGUGGUGGCGGAUGCGCUAAGUAGGAAAUCGACGGAAAACUUAGCGAUGCUUGUGGUUACUCAACCGCCGUUGAUCGAGCAGAUGAAGCGGUUGGAGUUGGAGGUGGUGGCUCCUGAUACACCUUUGAGACUGAUGACUUUGGUGGUGCAACCUACACUUUUGGAAAGGAUUAAAGAAAAGCAAGCUUCCGACUCGGAGUUGCAAAAGAUUCGAGCUAAGAUGGUUGAUGGUUGCACCGGUGACUUCACUUUAGACGGUGAUGGAUUGAUGCGUUUCCGCGGACGACUUUGUGUACCGGCGGACUUGGGCAUUAAAGAGGAUAUUCUUCAAGAAGCACACCGAGCACCGUAUGCUAUACAUCCGGGAGGCACCAAGAUGUACAAGAAUUUGAAAUUACUUUAUUGGUGGCCCGGGAUGAAAAAGAAUGUUGGUGAAUAUGUUGCAAGAUGCUUAACUUGCUAGCAGGUGAAGGCCGAGCACCGAGUUCCUGCAGGAAAGUUGCAGAGCCUAUCGAUUUCAGUGUGGAAAUGGGAGAAGAUCACUAUGGAUUUCGUGAUGGGAUUGCGGCGCUCACAGGCCGGGCAUGAUGCAAUUUGGGCGAUCGUGGAUUGAUUGACGAAAUCAGCACAUUUCAUACCUAUCCACACUACUUGGACUGGUGAGAGAUUCGCACAGGUUUAUUUGGAUGAGAUUGUGCGACUGCACGGGGUACCUACUUCAAUAGUAUCGGAUCGAGACCCCCUUUUUUUGUCUCACUUUUGGAGGAGCUUACAGGACGCUUUGGGUAGGCGCUUGGAUUUCAGCACUGCUUUCCACCACUAGAGUGACGGGCAGUCGGAGCGUACUAUACAGACUCUCGAGGACAUGCUUCGAGCUUGCGUGAUUGACUUCCAGGGAGGAUGGUCGCAGCAUCUACCAAUGGCAGAGUUUGCUUAUAACAACAGUUAUCAAGCAAGUAUUAAGAUGGCACCAUUUGAGGCAUUUUAUGGUCGGAAGUGUAGAUCGCCUUUUCAUUAAAGCGAAGUUGGCGAAAGAUUGGCUUUAGGCCCUGAUGUGCUUCAGGAAGUAGAGGAUAAGGUUCGCAUUGCUCGGGAGCGAUUGUUGACGGCCCAGAGUAGGCAAAGGAGUUAUGCUGAUCGGCGUCGACGAGACUUGGAGUUUCAGAUUAGAGAUCACGUUUUCUUGAAAGUCUCGCCGACCCGAGGGAUUAGAAGAUUUAGAAUCAGGGGUAAGUUGAGCCCUCGAUACAAUGGACCGUAUGAGGUUUUGGAGCGUGUAGGCCCGGUAGCAUAUAGACUUGCCCUACCGACGAACCUAUCGGGUGUACAUAAUAUAUUCCUUGUAUCGGUCCUUCGGAAGUACAUCCACGAUCCGGCUCAUGUUUUGGACGCUACGCCUUUGGAGCUGAGGGAGGACUUGAGCUUUGAGGAGCAGCCUUUAAGGAUUUUGGCUCGCGAAGUAAAAAGAUUGCGGAAUCGUGAGAUUCUCUACGUGAAGGUGUUUUGGAGCAACCACGACGAGCGCGAGGCCACUUAGGAGUUGGAGAGCGUGCUGCGAGAACGCUAUCCCCAUCUUUUUCAGAUGGAGGCUUGAGGUAUCUUUACUUUUCGAGUUUCGCGGACGAAACUCCUUUUUAGGAGGGGUGAAUGUAAAACACUGGACCUUUGCAAAUUGCGAGGUUCGAGUGGUUGGUUGUGUGCUGAGUAAUUCCAGACUUUCUGGUGGGUCGUUGACAGUGUUCCGACCUGUGGCUCGCAUCCCGAGAAGUGAGGUUUAAAGACUAGCACAAAAAUCCGAAAAAUCGGAUUGUUGGUCAGCUCUCGGGUAGCCUUCAGUAGGGCUUGUACCGGUACAAGGCUGAUGGUUGUACCGGUACAAGGCUGGUGGUUGUUCCGGUAUAGGGGGCUUGUACCGGUACAGAGCCGCAGAACCCGCCAACCCGAGCCUCGGGUUGUGAUUGUCGUGGGGCUUGUACCGGUACAGGGGCCCGUGUACCUGUACAAGGUGGCAGAAUUUGAGUAGUUUGAACUGCAGGGGUGUUUUUGUGAUUGUGGGUCCCUUAUAUCAGCACCCACGCCUCUAGGGCCCCCCUUUGAGCUCUCCACUGCAGGGAGAAAGGUAGGGCACCUCUCCCCUUCACCCCAUUUGGAUUUGAUCUCUUUCUAGCUUGGGAUUUAAGUGUUGAUCCUUCUCUUUUCCCUUUUCUUUGCUUUUCCACCAUUUUGAUGCUUGGAGCUUGGUCUUGAUGGAUUGUUGAGGGAAGAUCUUGGGAUUUCAAGAGUUUAGAGCUUUGAUUGAAGCUUUUAAGAGGUAAUCCACUUAUUCUCUCCCUCUAGAUUGGAUUUUAUUGAUGGUUUUGAGAUGAAACCCUAGAAUGAGAUUUUAGGGCUUAUUUUGGGCGUUUUGAUUCUAGGGCUUUUGGGGCUAAAUUAUUUGGAUUAGAGCACUCCUUUGGGUCGGGUUGGAAUGAUCUUAGCCUUCUUUUGGAGCUUGUGAGAGUUUUUCUCCACCCUAGGUGAGAUUUUAGCCCUUUUGCCUUAUUGGUUAAUGUUUGAUCUUAUAGAUGAUCGUAAUGCCCGUGUAUCUCUUCGCUCAAUACUUUUAGGGUGAUUUGAGACUCGUGGACAACUUCGUUCGGCGAGACGAGGCACUACACGACGGUUCGGUGGGUUUGACCUAGCCACACAAUGAGAAAUUCUCAUUUGUGAUGAAUUAAGUAUCGUUAAUUGAAAAAGCAUGCAUAUUCUUGUUAUAUGCAUUUAUUGUGAAUUUUAGAAUGCUUAAAAUGCCUAUGUUACAUAUGAUGAAAUUUUUAGUGUGGAUUUGAGUUUGUGUAUGGAUCUCGUCCCGGGACACCCGAUCUCAAAAGACCCUAUAGGAUGGCACCAGCAGAAUUGAAGGAGCUGAAGGCACAGUUGCAGGAUCUUCUCGAUAAAGGUUUUGUGCGCGAGUGUUGUCACCAUGGGGAGCACCAGUUUUGUUUGUAAAGAAGAAUGAUGGAUCACUUCGCUUAUGUGUGGACUAUCGUGAACUUAAUAAAGUCACGAUCAAGAACAAGUAUCCAUUGCGAGAAUCGACGAUCUAUUUGAUCAGCUACAGGAUCUUGUAAUAUAUUCCAAGAUUGACUUGCAGUCGGGAUAUCACCAGUUGAGGAUCAGACCUGAGAUGUGUCGAAGACGGCUUUAGAACAUGUAUGGACACUAUGAGUUUACUGUUAUGCCGUUUGGCUCACUAAUGCCGCUUAGAGAGGUGGCGUUUUGGGCCAUUUGAUUUCUGGAUCAGGAAUAGCCGUGGCCCGAGAAAAAUGAAGCUAUCAGGAUUGGCCGAGGCGACGAGUGACCGAGAUACGGAGCUUCAUUGGUUUGCCGGCUAUUACCGACGGUUCGUCGAGAGAUUUGCAAAGUUAUCUACUCCUCACGAGACUGACGCAUAAGGGCACCAAGUUUAUUUUGGAAUUGAUGCGUGUUGAAAGAGCUUCCAAGAGUGAAGCAGCGAUUGUCGACCGCCCCGAUCCUAACCUUUCGACUGCUGGAGCAGGUAUGUGAUUUAUAGUGAUGCUUCCUUUAAUGGAUUGGGCUGUCUUAUGCAGACCGGAAAGUGAUCGCGUAUGCAUCUCGCCAAUUGAAGGAUUAUGAAAGGAAUUACCCUACUCACGACUUGGAGUUGGCGGCCGUGGUCUUUGCAUUGAAGCAUAUGGCGCCACUACUUAUAUGGCGAGCGAGCGAAGUAUAUCGGAUCACAAAAGCUUAAAGUAUCUAUUCAUUCAGAAGGGGUUGAACUUGUGGCAGCGCAGAUGGUUGGAGCCUACUCAAGGAUUAUAUUGACUGAUACUACCACCCGGGCAAGGCUAACGUGAUGGCUGAUGCGCUAAGUAGCGAAAUUGACGAAAAACUUAGCGAUGCUGUGUAUACUCAACCGCCGUUGAUCAAGCAGAUGAAACGGUUGGAGUUGGAGGUGGUGGCCCUGAUACACCUUUGAGACUGAUGACUUUGGGUGCAACCUACACUUUUGGAAAAGAUUAAAGAAAAACAACUUCCGACUCGGAGUUGCAAAAGAUUCGAGCUAAGAAUGGUUGAUGGUUGCACCGCGUGUACUUCACUUAGACUGUGUAUGGAUUGAUGCGUUUCCGCGACGACUUUGGUGUCCGGCGCGACGUUCGGGCAUUNNNNNNNNNNNNNNNNNNNNNNNNNUUGUUUGAUACCGGUGCAUCGCAUUCAUUCAUUGAUCGGCUGUUUGCCGAGCUGCAUGGCAUCCCACUUGUAUCCUUGUUGCACCCGGGACGAGUUGUUGUACCCGAUCAUUCCUUGGACAUUCGGGAGUUUUGCCCCAGCUGCCCUAUUCGGGUUGGAGAUUGGAUCAUGCCCAUAGACAUGCUAGCCUUGCAUAAACUCGGGGAGUUUGAGGUUGUGUUGGGCAUGGAUUGGUUGACUAAGUAUUUCGCCACUAUCGAUUGUAAAGAUCGAACGGUGACUUUUAGAGAGCCAGGGCAGGCGGAGGUUGUGUACCGAGGAUGCCAGAGUUCGCUGUUUGCGAUGACGAUUAGCUCCUCUCGAGCUAGGCAGUUGAUUAGUAGAGGCUGCGUAGCCUAUUUGGCUAGUGUCGUGUUGCGGGGCGAUGCGGACGCCCCUAGGAUUGAGGAUAUCCCCGUAGUGCGGGAGUUUGGAGAUGUGUUUCCAGCGGAGCUUCCAGGCAUGCCUCCUGACAGGGAGAUUGAGUUUGUGGUAGAUCUCGUUCCCGCGACUAUCCCGAUCUCAAAGGCACCCUAUAGGAUGGCACCAAUAGAAUUGAAGGAGCUGAAGGCACAAUUGCAGGAUCUUCUGGAUAAGGGUUUUGUGCGACCGAGUGUGUCACCUUGGGGAGCACCAGUUUUGUUUGUAAAGAAGAAGGAUGGAUCACUUCGCUUAUGUGUGCACUAUCGUGAACUUAAUAAAGUCACGAUCAAGAACAAGUAUCCAUUGCCAAGGAUUGACGAUCUAUUUGAUCAGCUCCAGGAAUCUUCUGUAUAUUCCAAGAUUGACUUGCAGUUGGGAUAUCACCAGUUGAGGAUCAAACCUGAGGAUGUGUCGAAGACGGCUUUUAGAACACGGUAUGGACACUAUGAGUUUACUGUUAUGCCGUUUGGGCUCACUAAUGCCCCGGCAGCUUUUAUGGAUCUAAUGAACCGUGUUUUCAAGCCUUAUUUAGACAGUUUGUCGUGGUGUUCAUCGACGAUAUUUUGGUCUAUUCCUGAAGUGAUGCGGAUCACGAGGAACACUUGAGACUUGUACUUCAAGUGCUUCGAGAAAAGAAACUCUAUGCUAAGUUGAAAAAGUGUGAAUUUUGGCUUAGAGAGGUGGCGUUUUUGGGCCAUUUGAUUUCUGGAUCAGGCAUAGCCGUGGACCCGAGAAAAAUUGAAGCUAUCAAGGAUUGGCCGAGGCCGACGAGUGUGACCGAGAUACGGAGCUUCAUUUGUUUGGCCGGCUAUUACCCGACGGUUCGUCGAGGGAUUUGCAAAGUUAUCUACUCCCCUCACGAGACUGACGCAUAAGGGCACCAAGUUUAUUUGGAAUGAUGCGUGUGAAAAAAGCUUCCAAGAGUUGAAGCAGCGAUUGACGACCGCCCCGAUCCUAACCUUGCCGACUGCUGGAGAAGGGUAUGUAAUUUAUAGUGAUGCUUCCUUUAAUGGAUUUGGUUGUGUCUUAAUGCAGGACGGGAAAGUGAUCGCGUAUGCAUCUCGCCAAUUGAAGGAUUAUGAAAGGAAUUACCCUACUCACGACUUGGAGUUGGCGACCAUGGUCUUUGCAUUGAAGCUAUGGCGCCACUACUUAUACGGCGAGCGAUGCGAAGUAUAUACGGAUCACAAAAGCUUAAAGUAUCUAUUCAUUCAGAAGGAGUUGAACUUGAGGCAGCGCAGAUGGUUGGAGCGACUCAAGGAUUAUGAUUUGACGAUACUUUACCUCCCGGGCAAGGCUAACGUGGUGGCUGAUGCGCUAAGUAGGAAAUCGACGGAAAACUUAGCGAUGCUUGUGGUUACUCAACCGCCGUUGAUCGAGCAGAUGAAGUGGUUGGAGUUGGAGGUGGUGGCUCCUGAUACACCUUUGAGACUGAUGACUUUGGUGGUGCAACUUACACUUUUGGAAAAGAUUAAAGAAAAGCAAGCUUCCGACUCGGAGUUGCAAAAGAUUCGAGCUAAGAUGGUUGAUGGUUGCACCGGUGACUUCACUUUAGACGGUGAUGGAUUGAUGCGUUUUCGCGGACGACUUUGUGUACCGGCGGACUUGGGCAUUAAAGAGGAUAUUCUUCAAGAAGCACACCGAGCACCGUAUGCUAUACAUCCGGGAGGCACCAAGAUGUACAAGAAUUUGAAAUUACUUUAUUGGUGGCCCGGGAUGAAAAAGAAUGUUGGUGAAUUUGUUGCCAGAUGCUUAACUUGCCAGCAGGUGAAGGCCGAGAACCGAGUUCCUGCGGGAAAGUUGCAGAGCCUAUCGAUUUCAGUGUGGAAAUAGGAGAAGAUCACCAUGGAUUUCGUGAUCGGAUUGCCGCGCUCACAGGCCGGGCAUGAUGCAAUUUGGGCGAUCGUGGAUAGAAUGACGAAAUCAGCACAUUUCAUACCUAUCCACACUACUUGGAUUGGUGAGAGAUUCGCACAGGUUUAUUUGGAUGAGAUUGUGCGACUGCACGGGGUACCUACUUCUAUAGUAUCGGAUCGAGACCCCCGUUUUUUGUCCCACUUUUGGAGGAGCUUACAAGACGCUUUGGGUAGGCGCUUGGAUUUCAGCACUGCUUUCCACCCCUAGAGUGACGGGCAGUUUGAGCGUACUAUACAGACUCUCGAGGACAUGCUUCGAGCUUGCGUGCUUGACUUCCAGGGAGGAUGGUCGCAGCAUCUACCAAUGGCAGAGUUUGCUUAUAACAGCAGUUAUCAAGCAAGUAUCAAGAUGGCACCAUUCGAGGCACUUUAUGGUCGGAAAUGUAGAUCGCCUCUUCAUUGGAGCGAAGUUGGCGAAAGAUUGGCUUUAGGCCCUGAUGUGCUUCAGGAAGCAGAGGACAAGGUUCGCAUUGCUUGGGAGCGAUUGUUGACGGCCCAGAGUAGGCAGAGGAGUUAUGCUGAUCGGCGUCGACGAGACUUGGAGUUUCAGAUUGGAGAUCACGUCUUCUUGAAAGUCUCGCCGACCCGAGGGAUUAGAAGAUUUAAAAUCCGGGAUAAGUUGAGCCCCCGAUACAUUGGACCGUAUGAGGUUUUGGAGCGUGUAGGCCCGGUAGCAUAUAGACUUGCCCUACCGCCGAACCUAUCGGGUGUACACAAUGUAUUCCAUGUAUCGGUCCUUCGGAAGUACAUCCACGACCCGGCUCAUGUUUUGGACGCUACGCCUUUGGAGCUGAGGGAGGACUUGAGCUUUGAGGAGCAACCUUUAAGGAUUUUGGCUCGCGAAGUAAAAAGAUUGCGGAACCGUGAGAUUCCCUACGUGAAGAUACUUUGGAGCAACCACGACGAGCGCGAGGCCACUUGGGAGUUGGAGAGCGUGCUGCGAGAGCGCUAUCCCCAUCUUUUUCAGAUGGAGGCUUGAGGUAUCUUUACUUUUCGAGUUACGCGGACGAAACUCCUUUUUAGGAGGGGUGAAUGUAACACACUGGACCUUUGCAAAUUGCGAGGUCCGAGUGGUUGGUUGUGUGUUGAGUAAUUCCAGACUUUCUGGUGGGUCGUUGACAGUGUUCCGACCUAUGGCUCGCAUCCCGAGAAGUGAGGUUUAAAGCCUAGCACAAAAAUUCGAAAAAUGAAUUUUUGGUCAGCUCUCGGGUAGCCUUCAGUAGGGCUUGUACCGGUACAAGGCUGAUGGUUGUACCGGUACAAGGCUGGUGGUUGUACCGGUAUAGGGGGCUUGUACAGGUACAGAGCCGCAGAACCCGCCAACCAGAGCCUCGGGUUGUGAUUUUCGUGGGGCUUGUACCUGUACAGGGGCCCGUGUACCAGUACAAGGUGGCAGAAUUUGAGUAGUUUGAACUGCAGGGGUGUUUUUGCGAUUGUGGGUCCCUUAUAUCAGCACCCACGCCUCUAGGGCCCUCCUUUGAGCUCUCCACUGCAGGGAGAAAGGUAGGGUACCUCUCCCAUUCACCCCCUUUGGAUUUGAUCUCUUUUUAGCUUGGGAUUUAAGUGUUGAUCCUUCUCUUUUCCCUUUUCUUUGCUUUACCACCAUUGUGAAGCUUGGAGCUUGGAGCUUGGUCUUGGUGGAUUGUUGAGGGAAGAUCUUGGAAUUUCAAGAGUUUAGAGCUUUGAUUGAAGCUUUUAAGAGGUAAUCCACUUAUUCUUUCCCUCUAAAUUGGAUUUUAUUGAUGGUUUUGAGAUGAAACCCUAGAAUGAGGUUUUAGGGCUUAUUUUGGGCGUUUUGAUUCUAGGGCUUUUGGGGCUAAAUUAUUUGGAUUAGAGCACUCCUUUGGGUCGGGUUGGAAGGAUCUUAGCCUUCUUUUGGAGCUUGUGAGAGUUUUUCUCCACCCUAGGUAAGAUUUUAGCCCUUUUGCCCUGUUGGUUAAUGUUUGAUCUUAUAGUUGAUCGUAAUGCCCGUGUAUCUCUUCGCUCAAUACUUUUAGGAUGAUUUGAGACUCGUGGACAACUUCGUUCGGUGAGACGAGGCACUACGCGACGGUUCGGUGGGUUUGACCUAGCCACACAAUGAGAAAUUCUUAUUUGUGAUGAAUUAAGUAUCGUUAAUUGAAAACGCAUGCAUAUUCUUAUUAUAUGUAUUUAUUGUGAAUUUUAGAAUGCUUAAAAUGCCUAUGUUACAUAUGAUGAAAUUUUUGACCUCUAUGUAGUAGAGAGUUGCUUGGGAGAUCUAUGGUUGCAUUUAGCAUUCUAUAUGAGACUUGUUUUCAUGCUUCUAUAGUGUAAAUGAGCUUGGAUUCAUCCAUUUAAACCUAUGUUUAUUUGAGACAUGAAAGAUGACAAAAUUGCCAUAUAGAGGUAUCGAACUAGAAUGCAUGUGAAUUGGUGAGCUAAUGUCAUUAAGUGGUAUUGAGCUCGGAUUAUGUGUGAACCUAGUGGUUAAAGCCAUUGCGGGAUUUGGUUAAUGUUGAACAUUAAAUUGCCUAAGUGUCAUCAACGGGCACUAGGCAUAGUGAGUGUUUGGAACUUCGCUUUGUGACUUAACUAGAUCUUCGGGAUGCCAGUGACGAUACCAUGUUAGAGACAUGAGGUUUGGAUACUUGAGACUUGGACUAUGCUUGCUUGCCAUUUGUGCUCAUUCGCACAUGCUUGUGAGGGUCGCUCCCUACAAGCCGGCACUCCGGAGUUAGCCUACGCGACAUAUGUUCGCUCGUGCGGUAUUGAGAAGCCUACGGGGUCGAGUGGGACAGACACAUUCCAAGAGUAGGAAUGUUGUGCUACCAAGGCACUUAGGCGGCACAAGCUCGACUACCUUUGGUAGGUCUUUAAUUGGAAAUAAAAAUCGACACGGUGUUGAGUUUCUUAUAAUCACUACUAGAUAGAGAAUAGUAGUUGGAUUACUUGGACUUGCUUCUAGCAUAGUUUUGGGUACUUGGAUAUACAUACAUACAUGUAGCAUGCUAGGAGAUGUUGCCUAUCGCAUUCAUAUAUACAUUGUUGCCAUGAUAAAGCAUGAUCUUCAUAAUUUCAUAAAGAAAAUAAUGAUUAUUACUUGUGGUCAUGUCAGGACGUACUUGUUCAUAAUGAAAUAGGUGUACAUCAUAGUGGUGCAUUGAGCUGAGGUCAGUAAUUGCCCACUGGGAACUAUAAAUUAUAGUUCUCACGCCCUCUGUUUUAUAUUUUCUUUCAGAGCCUUCCACGCUGGGAGAGGCUAGGGACCGAGAGAAGGGAGUUGCUUCGAGCUAGCUUCCUUCGAGGGCGAUUUGAUAGGUGGUCUACCUCUCGUGGUUUUAUUUUGUGAGAGGUUGUGAGUUGUACCCAUAUAUGUAUAGAGACCACCCUUCUUUUGGAUCUUUGUAUUCCUUUUGAGGAGAUAGCAUUGUAUCACUUUGUGCCUUACUUUCAUUGUCUAGUUAUGUUUCUUUUACUCUGGUUUAGAUGAUAGAACUUUACUCGCUCUGAUAUCAUUAGUUGUUAUUAUUCUAUUUGUUCUAUUUCUUACUUUUACUUCCGCUUUUAUUGUAGACGCCUUAUAUAUGUAGACAUAUGGCGGGUCUGGGCACGCUACCGGGAGGGCCUCCGCCGGUCCCGCGGUGUGACAGUAAUUGCCCACUGGGAACUAUAAAUUAUAGUUCUCAUGCCCCCUGUUUUAUAUUUUCUUUCAGAGCCUUCCACUCCGGAAGAGGCUCGGGAUCGCGGGACAGGUUUCGUCUCGAGUUAGCUUUCGAGGGACUUGGCGAUAGGUGGUCCACCUCUCUUUUAUUUUCUUUUGGAGAGGUUGUGAGAGUUUUGUACUUGGUUAUAGAGACCACCCUUUUUUUGUAUCUUGAGAUUUAUGAUGUAUUAAUUUACUUUAUGUUUUAGUGGUUCAGUUCUCUUUUUGACUUUACUUGUCGAUAGAACCUAGUUGUGUAUUUGCUCUGAUAUCUCUAGAUACUUUCAACUUCUUGUUCAUUUUUUCGUUUGGUUCUAGACGCCUUAUAUGUGCAGGCAUAUGACGGGUCUGGGCACGCACCGGGCGGGCCUACGCCGGGUCCCGGGGCGUGACAGAUUAAUUUGGUAUCAGAGCCUAGGGUUGAGUCUUAGUAGACCUAGUGAACCUUAGGCCGGUCGGACAAUAGGAAUUAGACUCGUGAGAGACGGGGUCUAUUUGAUUUGUAAGUGAAAGUAUCAUGAUUGGGUUUCUUUGAUAGCUCCAAAAAGUUGGAGUUCGAUUGAAAUGUAUGAACUUCGCGGAGGGUUACGUUUACGGCCGACAACGUAACAUCGGGAGUUACUAGUAUAAGACACUUCCUUACUUUUGCAUGAUUUGGGCAUUGGUAUGUGACGCCCCAACUUCCCAGGGGGUCACCCAUCCUAGGACUACUCCCGUCCUAGCACGCUUAACUCUCUUAACCUUUUGGACUGUCACGCCCCGGGGCCCAGCGGAAGCCCGCCCGGCGCGUGUCCAGACCCGCCGUACGUCUAAAACAUACAAGGUGUAAAAAAAAUAAAGCGGUAACUAAACCAAUAAAAGAAAGCAUCAAGGAGUAUCAGAGCAAAGUACUACAAAGUGCUAUAACAAGGAGAAGAACAUGAAGCUGAAAAUCCACUAAGUAAAACAUAAGGUAAUACAAAAGGAGUCCCAUAACAAGUACUAGUCUGAAAACAAGGUGGUCUCUCUAUACAUGGUGCAAAAUCUCUCAUUGUCUCUACACAAACAAAAAAGGAGUAACCUCCUAAAGCAGAACGGACUCUCUCUCUGAGCUAACUAUGCGACACCCUUGCCACGAUCCCGUGCCUCCACUGGUACCGAAGGCUCUGAAAAGGAAAUAUAGAAACAGGGGUGUGAGAACUAUUAAAUAAUAGUUCCCAGUGGGCAAUUACUGACUUCAGUGAAUGUGCCACUAGGCCCAAAAGGCUACAACAAAAGGGUCAGUGUAUAAGCAUAAGCAAAAGCGAUAAAUACAACGGUUAAGUAAAGAUGAUUAUUGCUCAACCAUGAUGUCUCUACUUAGCAUGAUAUGCAUAAGUACUAAAACGACUACCACAGGUAUGUAUAUGAGAGUAACAAUAUGUAAAUGCAUGAGUAUGUAACUAUCCCAAUAUCCGCAAUGUAAAUAGCAAUAAUGUCAAUGUUCACUAUUCUAGUCAAUGUCCACUUGUCACUUUACUGAGUAAAGUUCAACUCUGAUAAGACCCACCCGAAGGCUGUCUGGCAUAAGACCCACCCGAAGGCUGUCUGGCAUAAGACCCACCCGAAGGCUGUCUGGCUUUACCGUGCCUAAUGGCCCCGUGGUAGUCACAUCCCCACCCUAGGAAUAAGCCUUUCCCAUGGCAAUCCACUUCGGCGCCCAAUCCCGCACGGCGAACGUAUCGCGAUGGCCAACUCCGGAGUGCCGGCUUGUAGGGAGCGACCCUCAUAAGCAUGUACGAAUGAGCACAAUGGCAAGCAUGCGUAUAAGUCUGUCUGAAGUACCAAGUCCUCAUGUCUAAAACAUGGAAUAUAUCGAAUGCCACAAAGGCCUAUCACUAUGUUGUCGUGUCUCUAACAUGGAAUAUAGUCGAUGUCCAAUGGCCUAUCACUAUAUCUCUAUGUUGCAUUUUCAUAGUUUACUAGUUCCAAGUGCCCCUUUAUGACACUAUUGUUCAAUGAGUCCAAGCAUGGUAUUUAUGUGCAUGAAUUCAUAAUUCUACUCAUUUCAAACAUAGGAGACAUGUUCUCAACUUGCAAGGCUAACCACCUUUCACAAUGCAUGCAGUCUACACAUAUAGCUCUAAUAUAUAGAGUGCAAAUUUCAUGAUACAUAAGGCAUGCAUUUUAAGUGUUCUAAAAUUCACAUAAAUUAUGUUUAACAUGGAUUUGCUCUCAAAAAGACUUUACGAAGAGUUUAGAAAGUAUAGGGGCCAUUUUGCCCCGUUUUCAUGAAGUCAAACCCACCACAACACUCGCGAUCCUUCGUAAGCUCCGACGAAGGUGUUCACUAGUCUCCUAUCACCCUAAAGAUGUAGGAACAAAGGUCAAGUGGACCAUACGAACAAUACAAGGCUCAAUCAAAAGUAACCUAGGCUAAGGUGGAGGAAACUCACCUCAAGGGAAGAAAUCCUCACUCAAACUCCAAAUGGGGGCAAGAACCCUUCCAAUUCAACCUAAAGGAAGGUUCUAAACCAAUCAAUAAGGUCCCAAAGCUCUCAAAUCAAAAAGCCCCAAAACUAACCUUAGAAUCCCAAUCUAGGGUUUCAUCUAGCAAAAAGCUUCAAAACUAGAAUCUAGAGGAGAAGAACUAGUCACAUACCUCUAGGAAGCUCCAAAUCAAGUCCAAGAUACUCAAGGGUUGAAGAUUGGUCCACCACCAAGCUUCAAAAGCAAGCUCCAAGUCCCCCAAAGGUGAGAAAUGAGGAAGAAGGUGAUGCUCCAAGGCCUCCAAGCAAGAUUCUCUCCUUCUUCUUCUUCUUCCUCUCCUUCUCCCUCUCUUCUUCUCUCUCUAGAAUGGGUGUGAAGGGGAGAAAUGAGGAGGGAAGAGAGUGAAAGGGCCAUAUAGACCAUCUAGUGCAACAAAAUCCAGAAAAGCCCCUCAAAAACUCAUUCACAUCAGCCCGGUCUGGGAAGUUUUCGCCCAGAGGGACCGGUCUCCCUGACUUGGGACCGGUCUCUCAGCCUGCCCCAAAAAUCCAACGUUCGGGAACCGGUCUCUCCCUGCACGGGACCGGUCUCUCCCCGCGUAUACGCACUCAGGGACUGGUAUCGCCUGCUAGGGACCGGUUGCCUCGCCAGCUGCCGCAACACUAAGCUGAGGGGACCGGUCUCUCAUAUCAGGGACCGGUCCUCGAGAGUGAAAACUCUCAGGACUUGCCAAAAUUUUAGAGAUCGAACUUUUAAGCCGGAAUACCAUCUACGGCCUUUCACCAAGUGUGGAAAAAUUUGGAGUAUACAUCAAACACUCGAACCUCGCAAUUUGUAAAGGUCCAGUGUGCUACAUGGAUCUUGCUACCACCCAAAAUGCUUAAGCCGGGUUAAGAGUUUAGCCCUAUUAUAUCUCAUAUAUAGGACUAUCUGGGGUCUCAUAAUCUUCCCUCCUUUAAGCCCUGACGUCCUCGUCAGGCUCAGACUCACAAGUACCAGGCGAUGUGAGACUCAUCUCGCUAGCCCGUCAUCUAGACCCUGGAUCAGCCGAGACUCAUCUCACACUUCCGGCUGGUAAUUGGCUCUGAUACCAUCUUGUUGUUUUCUUUUAUUGUUUCAUUUAUCGUUUUAUUUUAGACGCCUUAUAUGUUUUAGACGUAUGGCGGGUCUGGAUACGCGCCGGGCGGGCUUCCGCUGGGACCCGGGGCGUGACACGCCGCCUCCUCAGUCUAGGCCACAUACAUGCGCCCACUUAGGGCCUGUCGUGACCCCUCCGCCUGUCGCUGAACUAGCGACCGCCUAGCCUGGUGAUGCGCAGAAAGUGUCCCCUGGCUGGGACCCGGUAAAGCUGGUGUAGAUGCCAAAGAUAGCGCUGGUGCUGGACCCCUCGGGCAGUCCAACUGGAAGUGGCCCUCCUGGCCACACAAGUAGAACCUGCCCCGACUGCGUGAACACUGCCGUGGAAAAUGGGGACCACCGCAGAUCACGUAGCGCGGAGCCUGGCAUCGAUAAGGUCCUCCUCGCUGAGUAGACUGGCCACGUCCUCGCGAUUGGCUCCGGUGUCUCGGAUGUCUCGGCGGCCUCCCAGAGUGUGCCUAACUCGCACCCUUAGCCGCAGGCCUCUUGCCCUUGCCCUUGUCAAGGGCCUCUCGCCGCUCCUGCAGAUCUGCCGCGCUGCUCUCCACAAUGAGCGCACGGUUCACAACCUCUCGGUAGGUUUGGAGGUUGGAAGACUGAACAAACCGAAAGAUCGAAGGCCGCAGUCCCCGCUCGAAGAUGCGAGCCUUGUCCUCGUCAUCCCGGACAACAAAGGGCACACAAUGAAGAAGCCGGGAGAACUCUCUCUCAUACUCGGCUACCGUUCUGUCUCCCUGACGUAGAUUGCGCAAAUCCUGCUCCAUCUUCCUCUUCACACAGUCAGGAAAGUAAUGCUCCAGUAGGAGUUCCUUGAACCUCCUCCAUGAAAUCGCCGUCAGAUCCGUGCCGGGUUGACCUGGAUGUCCAACCACCAUCUGUAGGCCUCGCUGUCCAAGUGAUGUGUGGCGAGCCACACUCGAUCCCUCUCCUCGACAAAGGUGUCCCGAAACAGCUUCUCCAUAAGCAUAAGCCAUUUCUCUACUAUCCAAUGGUCCACGUUUUUCCCGACGAAGGUCCAUGGACUGCAUCUCCUGAACUCACUAAGACGCUCUAUAAGUCGAUCACGCUCUGCUCCCUCAACCAUCACGGGGAAAACUGCCCCCGCUACAGGCACCCGAGCCGGUGGUGCCGCAACGUCUCCUCCCGAGGUGCCGCCGCCAGUGCCGUCCGAGAGGUGUCGAGUGCAGGGGAUGUAACACAUUGGACCUGUGCAAAUUGCGAGGUUCGAGUGUUUGAUAUGGAUUCCGAACUUUUUCAUACUUUGUGGAAGGUCGUAGAUGGUAUUCCGACCUAAAAGUUCGAUUUCUGGAGUUUUGGCAAUGUCCUGAGAGUUUUCACACUCGGGGACCGGUCCCUGAUAGGAGAGAUCGGUCCCCUCAGAACAGUGUUGCGGCAGCCUGCGAGGCAACCGGUUCCUGGCGGAUGAGAUCCGUCCCCGAGCGCGAACACGCGGGGAGAGACCGUUCCCAUGCGGGGAGAGAUUGGUUCCCGAACGUUGAAUUUUCGGGGCAGGCUGAGAGAUCGGUCCCAGGUCGGGGAGACCGGUCCCUAAGUCCGAAAACUGUCCAGACCGAGCAGUGCACAGUGUUGAUUGUUGAGGGAAACUAAGUGAAUUUUGUUACUUGGGAUGGCUUAUAUGGUCCUUUCUCUUCCUUUCACUCUCAUUUCUCUCCCUCACACUCACACUAGAGAGAGAAAGAGAAGGAGAAGAAGAAGCAGAGGGGAAGAGCUUGCUUGAAGGCCUUAGAGCAUCAUCUUCUUCCUCUCAUCACACCUUGGAGGCUUUGAGCUCGUGGUUGAAGCUUUGUGGAGGAUCAAAUUUCAACCCUUCUUGGUUUAGAGCUUGGUUUGGAGCUUCUCUUGAGGUUGGUAACUUGUCUUCCCCAUUUAAUACAAGUUUUCUAGAUUUUGCUAGAUGAAACCCUAGUUUUGAGAUUUAGGGUUUAUUUUGGGGGUUUUUGAUUUGAGGGCUUUGAAACCUAAUUGAUGGGUUUAGAACCUUUAUUUAGGUUGGAUUUGAAGAACUCUAACUCCCAUUUGAAGCUUGAGAGAGAAUUUCUUCACUUGAGGUGAGUUUCUCCACUUUAGCUUGAGGUGGUUAAUGAUUGAGCUUAGUGUUGUUCGUAAGGUUCAUUUAACCUUUGUUCCUAUAUCUUUAGGGUGCUAGGGGACUAGCGGACACCAUUGUCGGAGCAAACGAAGGAUCGCUAGAGUUGUGGUGGGUUUGGCUUCAUGAAAACGGGGCAAAGUGGCCCCUUUCUAUACUUGUCGUAACGUCCUUUGGAAUGCAAAUCCAUGCUUGAUAGGAUUUAUGGGAAUUUUAGAACACUUAAAAUGCAUGUCUUAUAUAUUAUGAAAAUUUCACUCUAUAUAGUAGGGCAUUCUGAGCAUUUUUGCAUGCAUAUGAGAAGUGUUCGUGUUAGCGACUUGAAAACAUGUCUCUUAUUUUAGAAUUUGCUCAAAUUAUGCAUUUGUAAACAAUAAACUCAUGUUUGGACUUAGUGGACAAAAAUGCCAUAAAGAGGCACUUGACAUAGUAAACUGUAAAACUGCAACAUAGAGACAUAGUGAUAGGCUAUUGAACAUCUGCUAUAUUCUAUGUUAGAGACAUGAUGACAUAGAGAUAGGCUUUUGAGACAUUCGACGUAUAUUCCAUGUUUUUAGACAUGAGGACUUGGUACUUGAGACAGAUCUUUCGCUUGUUUGUCAUUGUGCUCAUUCGCACAUACUUGUGAGGGUCGCUCCCUACAAGCCGGCACUCCGGAGAUAGCCAUCGCGACAUAUGCUCGCUCGUGCGGGAUUGGGCGCCGAAAUGGGAUGCCCUGGGGGAGGCUCAUUCGUAGAGUGGGGAUGUUGACUACCACGGGGCCAUUAGGCACGGCGCAGGCCGGACUACCCACGGGUAGGUCCUACAGGAUUGGAUCAUUGAUGACUUAGCAUACCGACUGGACAUUGACUAGAAUAGUAAACAAGACAUUUUACUAUUUAGCUUGUGGACAUCAUGCUAGUGAUACUUUGGUAUAUUCAUGUUAGAAUAGUCUUUUAUUACUUAUGCAAAUUCAUGCUAAGUGGAGAUAUCAUGUUGUAGUAAGUUUACAUGUUUACUUACAUAUCGAUUCUAUUGCUUUUAUUGUUACUUAUCUGUUUAGCUCUUUUGGGCCUAGUGGUGCUUUCACUGAAGUCAGUAAUUGCCCACUGGAAACUAUUAUUUAAUAGUUCUCACGCCUCCUGUUUUAUGGUUUUUCUUUUAGAGCCCUCUGUACCGGCGGAGGUACAGGAUCGCGGCAAGGGGAUCGCUGGCUAGAUAGCGAGGAUUUACUGUUGCUUAGGUGGUUUUCUCUCUUUUUGUUGUUGUUGAGAGAGAGAGAGAGUAAUGUUUUGUAUCCAUGUAUAGAGACCACCUAUGUAUUUACUUAUAGCACUUGUUUUGGGAUUUCUAUUCUACUACCUUCGAUUUACUUAUGGUGGAUGUUAGCUCAUUUACUUGUUUCCUCUUAUAGAAUCUCGAUACUGUACUAUGCUCUGAUACUCCUAGAUGUCUUUUAUUAUUGCUUUAUUUACCGUUGUUUCUAGACGCCUUAUAUGUUUUAGACGUAUGGCGGGUCUGGAUACGUGCCGGGCGGGCUUCCGCUGGGUCCCGGGGCGUGACAGAUUAGUUUGGUAUAAGAGCCUAGGGUUGAGUCUUAGUGGACCUAGCAAACCUUAGGCCGGUUGGACUAUAGGAAGUAGGCUCGUGAGAGACGAGGUCUAUUUGACUUGUGAGCGAAAGCAUCAUGAUUGGGUACCUCGAUAACUCUAAAAAGUUAGAGUUAAAUCGAAGUGUAUGGCUCCUAACUUCGCGGAGGGUUACGUUGGCGGCCGACAACGUAAUAUCGGGAGUUAGUAGUGAAGAACACUUCCUUACUUUCGCAUGAUUGGGGGUAUUAUCUUUUUGAGCGGGGAUUCAAUAGCGUGGGUUUACUAACUUACGCUUUUAUAAUGUUGUAGUGAGAUGCCGAUCACUCGCUUCCAAUCUGCCGCAGCAGAUAAUGCGGCAAACUUGGAGGAGGUCGAGACCUCCGCUACCUCCGGAUCUGGCGAGGUCCAGGAGUUGAGGAGCCAGCUUGCGGCCCUCACCGACCUAGUAACUCAGCAGGCGGAGGCAGCUCGAUAGCAGACUGAGGCGGCGCGCCGGCAGGAGGCGCGGAUAAAGAGCCUGGAGGACCUUCUUCUGCAGUAGGCGAUAGCUUCCAGGGAGACCCAGGCCCCUACACUGCCAGAACCAGUUGUGGACGUCGCGCCGAGAACGCCGUCCCCCGCGCCUAGUUUGUCGCGUGUAGCGCCCGUGGCCGCGCCUCAGAAGGAGGCUUUGGCGGCGCCACCUGUUCAAACGCCCCCGAUUGGAGCUAUUUUCCCCAUGUUGGUCGAGGAAGCGGAGCGGGACCGACUGAUGGAGCGCCUCAACGAGUUCAGGAGGUGCGGUCUCCGGAUCUUCGACGGCGAGAAGGUCGACUACUGGAUCGUUGAAAAGUAGUUGAUGCAUAUGGAGAAGCUCUUCCGCGACACCUUCGUGGAGGAGAGAGAUCGAGUUUGGCUCGCCACACACCAUUUGGACGGCGAGGGCUACCGCUGGUGGUUGGAUCUCCAGGAGAACCCCAGCACUGAUUUGGCGGCUAUCUCGUGGAAAAAGUUCAAGGAGCUUCUGUUGGCGCACUACUUCCCGACCAGGGUCAAGAGGAAGAUGGAGCAAGACUUGCGCAACUUGCGCCAGGGAGACAGGACAGUAGCCGAGUACGAGCGGGAGUUUUCUCGGCUUCUACACUACGUGCCUUUCGUCGUGUGGGACGACGAGGACAAGGCCCGCAUCUUCGAGCGAGGGUUGCGACCGUCGAUCUUCCGGUUUGUGCAAUUCUCUAACCUCCAAACCUACCGAGAGGUGGUGGAUCGCGCGCUCAUCUUGAAGAGCGGCGCGGCUGAUGUCCAGGAGCGGCGAGAGGCUAUGGACAAGGGUAAGGCCAAGAGGCCUACGGCUGAGGGUGCGAGCCAGACGCACUCUAGGAGGCCGCCGAAGCACCCUAGGAGCCAGCAGUGUGGGCGCCGCUCGGCAGCGCCACGAGGAGGACCUGAUCGACGCCGACCCCCCCAGUGUGUGAUCUGCGGUGGUCCUCACAUUCCACCGCAGUGUCCGCGGCCGGAAGGCAGGUGCUUCCAGUGUGGCCAGGAGGGCCACUUCCGGACUGAGUGCCCGAGGGGUUCGUCACCGGCACCUGAAAGUUUUGGGGUAAUCCAAGGAUCUAUCUAGAUUGUAUCCAACACCUAGAGGGGGGGAAAUAGGUGUAACGGUCAAAAACCACAAAUCUCAAUGCAAUAAAAGUAAAUGAGGAAAAUAAAAAUCGCACCGAGAUUUACGUGGAAAACUCCAAUUAGGAGUAAAAAACCACGGGACCAACACGCGAUAACAAUCCACUAAGAAUAAAAGAUUACAAGGUGAUUUACCAAAUCCACGGACUCAAACCUCUCUUUUAUCUUCUCCGGAUCUCGCGCACACCAAUGGCUUGUCCACGCCCCACGUCCGAAUCCACGAAACGUCCCACUUAGAAUUGCCACGAAGCGCCUUGAUCAACGCGCGAAUCCACGACGCGGCCCACGGUCGAAUCCACAACGACACUCCGUCCGGAGCAAGAAUACCAAGAUUGACGAUGAUUAUUGCUUAGACAAUCAUUAAAGAACCAUAGAAGAUGUUUGCUAAGCAAUGCCUGAUCAAUUCUCCAUGAAGAACAAGAAAUUAGGGUUCAAGAAUUGAUUCUAAUAGAAACUUGUUGUUUAAGAGGAGAAAAGAUAUGCACCCAACAUUUCUAGGGUUUCAAAACAAUAUUCUAUAUCUUCAUUCUCUUUUAGAAACACCCCUAAAUCUUAUUUAUAGGUUUAGAAGACUUUGAAACAGACUAGGAUUGCAAAAACUCAUAUUUAAAAACUGACGUCAUUCUCAGGUCCGGUCCUCCCGAGGAGACCGGUCCUUGGAGAGGUCCUCCAAGUGAAAAUCGGUCCUUCGCUGCGUAGCUUGAGAAAACAUGCGUACGGGGACCGUUCUCAAGAUAAGGCCAAAGAGGCCUACGGCUGAGGUGGCGAGCCAGACGCACUCUAGGAGGCCGCCAAGCACCCUAGGAGCAAGCAGUGCUGGCGCGGCUCGGCACACCACGAGGACGCAUGAUCGACGCGACCCCCCAAUGUGUGAUCUGCGGUGGCCUCACAUUCCACGCAGUGUCCGCGCGGGAAGGCAGGUGCUUCCAAUGUGGCGAUGAGAGGGCCACUUCAGGACUGAGUGCCCGAGGGGUUCGUGCACGCAGCCUGAAAGUUUUGGGGUAACCAAGAAUCUAUCUAAUUGUAUCCAACACCUAGAGGGGGGGAAUAGGUGUAACGGUCAAAACCACAAUUCUCAAUGCAAUAAAAGUAAAAUGAGGAAAUAAAAAAUCACACCGAGAUUUACGUGGAAAAUCCAAUUAGGAGUAAAAAACCACGGACAACACGCGAUAACAAUCCACUAAGAAUAAAAAGAUUACAAGGUGGAUUUAACCAAUCCACGGACUCAAACUUCUCUUUUAUCUUCUCCGGAUCUCGCGCACAGCCAAUGGCUUGUCCAUCCGCCACGUCCGAAUCACGAACGCGGACGUCCCAGAAUCCAUGAAAGUCCACACUUCGAAUCCACGAAGCCUUAUCACGCCGAAUCCAACGCGCCCACUCGAAUCCACCAAGCACACUCCGUCUGGAGCAGGAAUACCAAGAUUGACGAUGAUUUAUUGCGUUAGACAAUCAUUAAAGAACCAUAGAAGAUUUGCUAAGCAAUACCGGAUCAAUUCUCCAUGAAGAGACAAGAAAUUAGGGUUUCAAGAAUUGAUCCAAUAGAAACUUGUUGUUUAAGAGGAGAAAGAAUGCACCCAACAAGUUCUAGGUUUCAAACAAUAUUCUAAUAUCUUCAUUCUCUUUUAAAAACACGCCUACAUCUUAUUUUAUAGGUUUUAGAAAGACUUUGAAACAGACUAGGAUUGCAAAAACCCAAUUUUAAAAAACUGACGUCGUUCUCAGGGUCCGGUCCUCCGAGAGACGGUCCUUGGGGACGCGGUCCUCCAAGUUGAAAGAUCCGUCCUCGCUGCGUAGCUGAGAAACAUCGUAGCGGGGACUCGGUUCUCAGUAAGCGGGAAGAGGCUACGCGAGGGUGCGGAGGCCAAGAGGGAGGCUGCUGAGGGGGAGCAGGGGCCGCCGAAGCACCCUGGGAGCCAGCAGUGUGGGCGCGGCUCGGCAGCACCACGAGAGACCUGAUCGACGCCGACCCCAAUGUGUGAUCUGGCGUGCGUGGUCCUCACAUUCCACCGCAGUGUCCGCGGCGGAAGGACGAGGUGCUUCCAAUUGUGCCAGGAGGGCCACUUCCGGCUGAAGUGGGCCAGAGGUUCGUCACCGCGCACUGAAAGUUUUGGGGUAACCCAAGGAUUAUCUAAAUUGUAUCCAACACCAAGAGGGGGGGAAAUAGGGUAAGACGGUGCAAAAACCACAAGUCUCAAUGCAAUAAAAGUAAAUGAGGAAAAUAAAAAAUCAAGCCGAGAUUUACGUGAAAAACUCAAUUAGGAGUAAAAAACGCACGGACCACACGCGAUAACAAUCCACUAAGAAUAAAAGAUUACAAGGGUGAUUUACCAAAUCCACGGACUUCAAACCUCUCUUUUAUCUUCUCGGAUCUCGCGCACACCAAUGGCUUGUCCACGCCCCACGUCCGAAUCCACGAACGCACGUCCUGAAUCAAACGAAACGUCCAACAUUCGGAAUCCACGAAGCCUUGAUCACGCCGAAUCCAUGACGCCCACUCGAAUCCACAAACACACUCCGUCCGGAGCAAGAAAUACCCAAGAUUGACGAUGAUUUAUUGCUUAGACAAUCAUUAAAAGAACUAUAGAAGAUGUUGCUAAGGCAAUAGCCGGAUCAAUUCUCCAUGAAGAACAAGAAAUUAGGGUUUCAAGAAUUGAAUCCAAUAGAAACUUGUUGUUAAGAGGAGAAAGAAUGCACGCCAACAAGUUUCUAAGUUUCAAAACAAUAUUACUAUCUUCAAUUCUCUUUUAGAAACACCCCUACAUCUUAUUUAUAGGUUUAGAAGACUUUGAAACAGACUAGGAUUGCAAAAAUCAAUUUUAAAAACUGACGUCGUUCUCAGGUCCGGUCCUCCGAGAGACCGUCCUUGGGACCGGUCUUCCAAGUGAAACCGGUCCUCUCGCUGCGUAGCUGAGAAACAUGCGUACGGGGACCGUGUUCUCAAUUCAGAGACCGGUCCCUCUUGCGCAACAAGAUAAACCACUUACGGGAACCGGUCCUCAGACCAGAGACCGGUCUCCCAAAAACUUCUAUGCAGAGAAGCUUGAUGGGCCCGGUCCUUCUGAUCAAGGACCGGUCCCUGAGCCCUGAGAUUUUUAGAAAAGUCCAGUUUGAUCAACAAAACACAAUCUAAGCCUUCUAAACACUUUUAAACAUUUAUAAAUCAUCAUCAAUGGUAUUUAAACUACGAGCAUUGUGCAUUCAUGUUUUGAGUCUUCGAGUCUUCGAUCUUGUAAUACACUGAAUUUUUGCAAAUUGCGAAAUUCGAGUGUGAGGAAUGAUAUAUGGAACUAUUCUACAUGUUCUAAAAGUUAGAACAAGUUUUUGGAUAAGUUAGAGGAUGAUUGGAAUGCUAAAAGUGAGAAAGUGCUUUGAACUGGUGAAAAUCAGCAUUUUCUGCUUGUUGUACUGGUACAGCCUUACCUUGUACCGGUACAAGCUGGCAGAUUCGUGGCAGCAAGGCUAGUUUGGUAAUUUCACACUUGAUCCCUACCUAUUUGAUCCCAGGCACGACUCUGGGAGCUCAGUAAAGUGUGCUGGAGCUCAGGAGUGUUUUUCUUCCGCCUUCUUCUCUCUCUCUCUCUAGGUUUUCUCUCUCUACAAAAUUCGCCGAUUUCGCUCGUUUUCGUCGCAACGUUGUUUCCGCUGUUUGCGCGUCUUCCUGAGCCCUUGUGGACGUGUGAGGGAGUGUUUUGGACGGGUUUCGCAGCCCUGGAUCAGCAGGUCACUGGUUGGAAGCUUGAGAAGGUAAUCGACUCACUUUUGCUGUUAUCGACGUUCUAUUCGUCGAUUUGAGUAGCAAUUUCGGUUUUUGCUUCUUUGCUGUGUUAGGCUGAGGUUUCAGCAAUUAAAUAUGAGUUAUUUAGCUGUGAAUGAACCUCCUUAGACCAGGGAUAAGCUACUUUCAAGCUUAUUAGAAAUGUUUGCUAUUUAUGAAGCUAUUUCGGACUUUACGCGAGUUAUCCGAUCAAAUGAUGCAGUUUGGAAAUUGCUUCUUUCGCAGCAGGUCUUCGAGCUUCGUUGAGCUGAACGUGUACCUUUUGAGCUGUUAGAAGGUGUUCUAACCUAAGGUAAGCAAGAAUUUCAGUUAGGAAGCUGAAAUUGCAAGAUUCCGAUUAAAGUUGCUAUUUAUAUGAAAUUUGAUGCCAUUUCAAUUUGUUCGGCAGCGAGAGUGCGAUCGAGCCUGGAUCAUCAUUAGUUUUGACUGUGAAGAGCUCUUGGAGACUUAUCUUGAGGUAUUACACGAGUCCAAAACAGGGAAUUAAACUUCUACUUGCUUUAAGUGCAAAUGGAACCGAAAUUGGACAUUUCGGUUAUAGUAUUGACUCACUUCUGUACCUUAUUUCCAACACAUUGGGCUUCGUUGAGCCGAUUUUGGAUUUCUUUUGGAGCUUAGUACGAGGUGGGUUUGAGACCUAACCAGAGCAAGUGAAGCUCCCCUAUGUUCUAUAUGUAUGGAAUUUGAGAUAGUUGCGGCGACAUUGGCACAAUAUGGUUGUUGGAACUUCUUUGCACAAACAUUGAAUAGAACCUCUAUGAAGUAGAGAGAAUUCAUGCAUAAUUGUACUUAGGUUUUAUUUUAGUUUAAGUUGAAUAACUAAUGGACUUGAUAAUUAUGCUGUUGUAAAGUAGAGAACAAUGAUAUUCUCGUGACUUUAUCGAUUAAUAAGUAUGAGAACAAUGACAUGCCAUAUGACUAUGUUGAUAGUGCCAUGAUAGUAGAAAGACUCUAAUGCCAUAUAUGAACUAGCAUUACUCUUACAUGUUUGUUAUCUAGUGGAUACUAGUCGUUAUCAAUAUUGGCUAUAUGAAAUCCCGAUCAAAGGAUCGAGAGCAAGAAUAUUGUGAGUAAUUGUAAUAGCCGAGACAUGUUGGACUUUGCUUGCUUGCCAUCGUGCUCAUUCGCAAUGCUUGUGAGGGUCGCUCCCUGCAAGCCGGCACUCCGGAGUUGCCCUACGCGACAGUUGCUCGCCCGUGCGGGAUUGGGUGCCGAAUGUGGAUUGCCGUGGGGAGUGUAUACUACCACGGGGCCAUUAGGCGCAGCGCAAACUUGGACUACCUUUGGUAGUUCCUGUGAAUAAUAGGACAGUAAUGAAUGCUUAUUAAUUGAAGUGUACAGUAGUCACUUACAUGUUCGUGCUUAUAUUCAUAUCUAUAUUCAUGAUUAUAGAGAUUGCCAUAUCCCUAUUAUGCAAAUGAUUCAUUACUGUAGAAAGCUAUUACAUGUUAUUACAUGUUGUUUACAUGCAUAUUAAUUGCUUAGCAAUGGAAAGGUAUGCUCACUAUCUGUUAGCAUUGCAUACUUAUAUAUCAUGCAGUUACUGCUCUUCUUUAUUUCAGUACAUCAUGAGCCUAGUGGUGUAAUUCGCCGAGGCUGGCGGCUUACCCACUGGGAACUAUUGUUUAUAGUUCUCACGCCCUUUUGGUGGUUGUUUUUAUAGAGCCAUCCGCAGGAGAGGCUAGGGAUCGUGGCAAGGGAGUCGCGUCUAGCUAGACUUUGCUAGGAGCAUGCUAGUCGAUCACCUUGCUACUCGGGCUACGGCCGAGGGUGAUGUCCCUUUGUAUAGAGAAACCACCAUUGUACCUAUUUUUGUAUACCCGUGAUGUAUAUUUACUGUUGUGAUACUUGCUCUUUAGUCGAGAUUUUGAGUUGGUACACUCUUUGUUCUUUUGUUGAUGUAUAUCGACUUGUACAUUGCUCUGAUAUCGGGAUAGGACUCUCUUUGUUUUACUUCCUAUCGAUUUGCUUUCUUCGUAGACGCCUUAUAUACUGCAGGUGUAUGGCGGGUCUGUGCACGUGCCGGAUAUGCUUCCGCUGGUACCCGGGCGUGACAGAUCUUCAUCUCUUCUUCUUCAAACUUUCAAGACUCCGACUAACUUCACGAAAUAUGCCAACAUAAAAUCCGUAACAGCACCGUCACCGGCUCUACCAGCCGCUAGCCACGGGACUCCGUCAACACAGUACCAGCCUGGGCGGCCACCCAUCCAGUGCCAGAGCAAGGGUUCUCGACAGGCCCUGAGUAGGCGUAUGUAUGCCGCUCAGACCGAGGAGGCAGCAGCAGCCGAGGAUGUGGUUGCAGGUAUCAUUUUACUUGAUGGCAUUAGAGUUCGUGCUUUAUUUGAUACCAGUGCAUCGCAUUCAUUUAUAGAUCGGCUGUUUGCCGAGUUGCAUGGCAUCCCUUUGGUUUCUUUGUUGCAUCCGGGACAUGUUGUAGUACCCGACCACACUCUGGAUAUUAGAGAGUGUUGCCCUAGUUGCCCUGUUCGGGUAGGAGAUUGGAUCAUGCCCGUGGAUUUGUUAGCUCUGCGCAAGCUAGGGGACUUCGAUGUGGUCUUAGGCAUGGAUUGGUUAACCAAAUAUUAUGCCACGAUAGAUUGCAAGAAUCGCACGGUUAUUUUUAGAGAACCGGGACAGGCUGAGAUUGUGUUUAGAGGAUGCCGGAGUUCGCUUUUUGCGAUGUCGAUCAGCUCGUCUCGAGCUAGGCAGCUGAUCAGCCGAGGAUGUGUAGCCUACUUGGCUAGUGUUGUGUUGAGGGCCGAGGAUGACACCCCCAGGAUUGAGGAUAUUUCGGUGGUACGGGAGUUUCAAGACGUGUUCCCAGUGAGCUACUGGGUAUGCCACCCGAUAGGGAGAUCGAGUUUGUGGUAGAUCUCGUUCCUGGGACUACUCCAAUCUCGAAGGCACCCUAUAGGAUGGCACCGGUGGAGCUAAGGGAGCUGAGGGCACAGCUACAGGAUCUGUUGGACAAGGGCUUCAUUCGACCGAGCGUGUCACCGUGGGGAGCGCCAGUUCUGUUCGUCAAGAAGAAGGACGGAUCACUUCGCCUAUGUGUGGACUAUUGUGAACUUAAUAAAGUCACGAUCAAGAAUAAGUAUUCGUUGCCGAGGAUCGACGACUUGUUUGAUCAGCUUCAAGGAUCGUGUGUGUAUUCCAAGAUCGACUUGCAGUCGGAAUACCACCAAUUAAAGAUCAAACCUAAGGAUGUAUCGAAGACGGCUUUUAGAACACGGUAUGGACACUAUGAGUUCACAGUUAUGCCAUUCGGGCUUACUAAUGCUCCGGCAGCUUUUAUGGAUUUGAUAAACCGUAUUUUUAAGCCUUAUCUAGACAGGUUCGUUGUGGUGUUCAUCGACGACAUUUUAGUUUAUUCCUGAAGUGAUGCAGAUCAUGAGGAACAUUUGAGAAUUGUGCUCCAAGUACUUCGGGAAAAGGAUCUUUAUGCUAAGCUGAAAAAGUAUGAAUUUUGGCUUCGAGAGAUAGCUUUUUUUGGACAUUUGAUUUCAGGAUCGAGUAUAGCUGUGGAUCCUAAGAAAAUUGAAGCAAUCAAGGAUUGGCCGAGACCGACGAGCGCCACGGAGAUACGGAGCUUCCUUGGAUUGGCCGGGUACUACCGGAGAUUUGUUGAGGGGUUCGCUAAGCUAUCUACUCCCCUCAAGAGACUCACGCAUAAAGGUGUUAAGUUAAUCUGGAAUGAUGCGUGUGAGAGAAGCUUCCAAGAUGUCACGCCCCGCCCCGAAACCACUACCAAUUUGCACGGUUCGACCGCGGCGGCGGGCCGCCGAACGGACAGCACCUCCCCUGUCCGCCCAAGGUUCAACACAGGAAUGUGUACAAGAAUUUACCCAGGAAAUUAAAUUCUAAGCAUACACAUUAAAGAGGGCACAAACAGUGCCAACAAUACAGAAAGCAAGUGAUCCACAAGAUAUAACUAGUGAAAUAAAGAUAGUACUUUACUAACUAUUACAUUAGUUCCAACCUUCUCAUUUACAUCAUUAUCUUUAAAUGAUUACAUUCUUCAUCCAAAAUACAUAUCUCUCCAAAUCCUCACCUACAAUGAUCUCUCUCAAUACAUAGGUGUGCUAAUGCAAAAAGAAAAGCUACUAUACUACCACGGUCUUACUGGUCGGGCGUGACGCCCUUGUCGCGGUCCUCUCUCUGCAGCCCUGAAUCUACCACUGGAAAUAGAGUCGGGUGAGAACUAUCUUCCAUAGUUCCCAGUGGGCUCGGCCGCCGACUCUGCCGAUCUCCCCACUAGGUCCAAGUGGGCACAAUCAACAACAGAUAGAUAGAUAGAUAGAUAUGUAUCUGAAAGCUGUAAAUGAAAUAGUAGGGAAACUAUGCUACUAUGCCCAUAAUCAUGAAUAUGAAUGCAUGCAUAAUAUAAUAAAGGUUUGCUACCAUGCUAACAAAUUCGAUCUAUGUUCGAAUAGCAAUGUUCACUGACAUUAUUUAACCUUUACUCUUUCCAUUUACCCAAUCUGUGGUGAGGCCCUAGGGCUCGCCUAUAACUCACCUUUUAAUCCCAAAGUGGGGAGGGAGCUCCAAGUGCACCCAAGCCCGGGACCGUCUGCGGACCUCCAUGUGGUCCGGACCUCCAAGUGGUCCUAGUGGCGCGACACUCCAGAGUACUCGACGACCAUCCCCUCCAUGUGGGGAUUGGAUGGCUAUACCAUCCCAAACGCAGACUGUGAGCUAGAUCUAUCCUCUCCAAGUGAGGAUACACUAUCACUAGGGUCAACAACCCAAUCCAAUCCUCUCCAAGUGAGGAAGCACUAUAACUAGGGUCCGCAACCCAAUCAAAUCCUCUCCAAGUGAGGAAGCUCUAACUAGAGUCAACAUCUCUCGCGGGAUCAUUUGUUCCCGACAUUCAUGCAAUGCUAUUUAGCUUGUCUAAAUUCAUUGUUCACAAGGCAUUUUCUAAGGGAUCCACCUAUCCCUAGGUUCCCAAACCUCUAGUGUCAUAUACACUACAUUAAUGCCACUCGUCAUCUUCAAUGUUUGGAUACCACUCAUAUGUUCUUUAACAUUAACAAAACUUUCUAUGUCAUCAACACCCCCAUCGGGUUCAUCUCUACCUCUAGCAUCAUAGGAUCCACGUUCCGACCCAAUCCUCACCUAUCUAAGUUACCAAGCGUUCCAAGUACACUAGGUUAUCAUUUAGAAAGCAUAAGGAAUGGUGCUACUGUAACAUACCGAACUUCUAUAAUUAUGAAGUUAUGGUGUAUGUUAGCUUGGAAAGCCGUUAGAAUGGUUACGGUGAUGUUCGGAAGCAUUCGGUUGCUUCAAUGCGCGUAGGGCACGAAAACGGAACCCGAAAGUCUAUGUUGGAUCAUGGACUAAAUUUAGUAAGGGCAUGGAUGAAAGGAUGAUGAAAACAUGUUCGAAAACAUGUUUGGAGAGUCUCGAUUCGAUUUGAAACGAAUCGGAGGUCAAACGAGCGAAAAAACGGACCCGACGGCUGAAAAUGCUGAAAAUUUGGCUAAGUCUGGAAUGCUGAUUUUCUGGCCUUUCGGGGACCGGUCUCUCACUGCCUAGGACCGGUCCCAGCACCCGAAAAUGCCCAGUUUGGGAUGGGGCAAUGUGUUAAACAUAGAGGGUUGUGGGGGGUUAAGUGCAAAUGUGUGUGUAUGGGUUUAUAUGUUGGAGAGAUGAGGUUUAGCCCUCAUUUCUCUCCCUCCAACCCAACAUGAGAGCUCUUUCUCUCACUAGAUUUCCCUCUCUCUCUCCUUGGGAUGGCUCCAAUGGUGGAGAUUGGUGGAGAAAAGCUUGGUUGGUGAUGAAGAAACCCUCUCAUGGCAACCUAGCUUGGAUCUAAGAUAAGUAUUCUAGGAUUUGAGGGUUUUAUGGUUUUGAUGUUAGGGUUUGGUGUUUCCUUCUAGAUCUAGCUUCUAGGAGAUGUCAUGGUGAGGUUAUUCAUGGAGUUCUAUGGUCUAGGGACCUAUUUGGGAAAGAUGAUAAACCAUAGGGGUUAGAAAAUGGGGUUUUGUAAUUAUGAGGUCUAAUCUUGGGAUUGAUCUCCUUCUAACCUAAUUGGUAGGUCAACGAAUGCGAGGGAAGCGACAGUUCGUCGAUUCGUCGAGCCGGUACAAAGAUAUUGAAGAAACAAGCUAAAUUGGUACAGAUGGCCGCAGCUCGCGGCGUUGGUGUCUAAAAAUCGUGAAAAUGGAAUCGGGGCUUCUCGGCAUUCCUACAAGGUGGGGGGUGCUAUCCGGAAACACCGGAUCUCUUUCUAUGUCUAUGUCGCUUCUUUGAGCAUAUUGAUAAUGUUGUAUUCAUGCAUAUAGGUAAUGAGAUAAAUGUUGAUUGUAUCAAUUAUCUGCUUAUGAACAUUGCAAAUAUAUAUUGUAGAACCGUGAGAACGAGAAAAUGAACAACUCUAUCUAUAUGUAUGUGAAAGUGAGAAAAGACUUGAUCCAUAGUAAAUAAAGGCGACAUUGACUCUAGUGACAUGAUUGGCACCGAGAACAUAUUGUGCUAGAUAAGGUAAAACCUUAAAGCAUUGUGAAAUAUUGACUAUCCCAUUAGUGGACAUUAUGGCUUAGUAAAGUGACAUAUAUGAUUAGGUAAAGACCUAUCAUCGGUAUUGUGGUAUCAUGGUUAAAGUUGUAAAGACCAUUCUACGCAUUGUGACCAUUGUGGCUUAGUAAAGUGACAUACAUUAUUAGGUAAAGACCUAUCAUCGAUAUUGUGGCAUCAUGGUUAAAAGAAAUGACUAAACAAGAUUUAGCUUAUUGUUGCAUCAGGACCAUUGUAAUAUUGGGAAAUGGUAGUAUAUGCAUGAAUAGGUAAAGACCUUUCAUCGGCAUUGUGGCAUUGAGACAGGUUUGGCUAUACCUCCUCAAAUUGAGGAGGGGAUCAUACUCACAUGUAUUGGUUCCGGCUUGUGGGAGGUCGCUCCUCCACAGGCGGUGUACUCCGGAGUGAUGAAAACACCACGGGUCGACAUGCCUGGCGAAGAUCCUUCGGGUGGUAGUGCCUUGUGCCUCCCUCGUUAGAUGGAUAUGUGGACUGUGAGUUGGGAUAAACCAGGAGCACCCCAUGUUGAUUGGGUAAAAGCCAAAGGAAAGUGUGUGGACUGUGAGUUGGGGUAAACCAGGAGCACCCCGAGUUGACCAUAAAAAAGUGAAAAGGACAUGCAUGCAUAAUCAUCAUGUGUUUGAAUAUGAAUCUGUGAUUUGCUUUCUUGUAGGCAUUGUAUUAGAAGUGCAUUAGUUGGUUUGUUAUCCUUCCUUAUUGAAAUACAUAUGCCUGAAAUAGACCUAGUGGGCGAAUCGGCGCAGUCGGUGGCCGAACCCACUGGGAACUUCUUCUAGUUCUUAUCCCACUAACCAUGCACGUUCUAGCGCGAGCGGGGCGAUCGGGGCUCGUGGCGUGGUUAUCGUGCUCUAGGUAGUGUACUACCUUUAUGUAUAUAGAGGCACCCUUGUAUAUUUCAUCUAUUAUGUCGAUGAAUGUAAAAUGUAAAAUGUAAAUGUAAUAAAAUCAUGUGAGAGGUGAAAAUGUAUUAAGUUCAUUUGAGAGAUGAAAUUGUAAAUUGAGAUGAAUGAAUGUAAAGAAAUGUAUGAGCUUUGUAUUUGAUUGAAAAUGAUCAAGAUACAAUGUAUAAAAAUGUAAUAGUUAGAUUGCUCUCACUUAUGUUUGGUUGUUGCUUGCCCUCGUGCAAGCCGUGUAUACUUGCAUUCAUUAUGUUUGAAUUGCUAUUGUUAUACAUGUAUUGGUGGAGCCUUGGGUGGACAGGGGAGGUGCUGUCCGUUCGGCGUCUGUCAUGUGCUCGAAUCCGAUCAAAUUGGCGGAGCUCGGGGCGUGACAGCUACUAUGCAAUCCUGCAAUGCAACAUGAAGAGAUGAGAUUAAAUGCAAUCUAAAACAUAGAAAGGAGUCCGAAAGCUUCGGGAUGGCACCCCCCACCUUUAAUCGAUGUAGAGGCUUUGGAUAUUCUUCUCGGCGAGCUUUACGAAAAGGCUUUAGCCUUCCUCGCCCAAAUCAACACUAGCCCGGCCCAAUUUUGCCGAGGACUUCACGUCAGUUCGCCGAAUGGCAAAAUCGACUUCGCCCCCACGAUUUGUGACCUAACAAUAGGGUUUCCAAGGCUUCAAAUGAGAUCAAUCUCAUACUUUCACAAAAACCCCAUUUUGGAGCCCUAGGUUUGCAUCUAUAGCAAACCACCAAUAAAUCCCUAGAUUUCUUGGGAUUGAUCUAUUUAGAAGCUAGCUAGGGUUCAUUUGACCCAUUCCAAAGCAUAAAAACCCAAAACCCUAAGUUUUAUAAGCUAGGGUUUGUAGCUUACCUCUUGAGCUACACCAAUGGAGAAGAGAGAAAGAGAGGAAGAUGCUCCAAGCCUUCUCUAGCUUGUUAUCCUCCUCCUUCUUCUUCUCUUUCUUCUUCUCAUUCUCUUUUGUUCUUUCUUUUCUAGAGAGAGAGAGAGGGAGCAAGAAAGAGUGUGAAAGAGAGAGAGAAUGAGAGAGUGUGAGGGAGAGAGAGAGCUCAGCCCACUCUAAUAAAGGCCAUUUUGCAUAAAACCCCUCAACUUUCCAUCCCUUCCACAGCCCUUACUGGGCAGUUUUCGCGCGGAGGGACCGGUCUCCCCGACUUGGGACCGGUCCCCGAGAGCUUCCCUCGGGCGCACGCGUUCGGGAACCGGUCUCUCCCCAGGAGACCGGUCCUCGGGAGACCGGUCCCCACCUGAGAGACCGGUCCUCGAGAGCUUGAUUUUCUGGACUUAGCCAAUUUUUGGCAUUUCUCGCUGGGGCAACGUUCGGGAACCGGUCUCUCCUCGCCAGGGACCGGUUGCAUCAAGCAACCCCGCAACACCCAGCUGAUGGAACCGGUCUCUCACCUCCAGAGACCGGUCCCCGAGAGUAUCAGCAGCCCAAUGAUGCAGUUUGCACUAUUUACUCUCGCGGACUCAACUCCAAAGCACUUUUUGUGUUUUGGACAUUCUUAACUCCCGCAAAAAGGUAUUCUCUCGACGGUCAGUCGAUCCUGGAUGAAGUACAAUCCUCGGAUUUCGAGAAUUCACUUCCUUACAUCCUCCCCUCCUUAAAAGGAGUUUCGUCCUCAAAACUAACUCAAUUCUUUAUUUUAAUUCAAAUUCAUACCUUACUCCUCAAAUAAAUGAGGAUGGUGUCUUCUCAUCAAAUCCUCGAGUUCCCAGGUGGCUUCGCGAUCCUCGUGAUUGCUCCACCUUACCUUUACAUAGGGAAUUUCUCGAUUCCUCAAUUUUCGCACCUCUCGGGCGAUAAUCCUCACCGAAAACUCUUCGUAGCUCAAGUCUCCUUGAAGUUUUGGCGGUUCGUAUAGCAUCGCAUGCUUGGGGUCGUGGAUAUACUUGCGGAGAUUGGAGACAUGGAAUAUAUUGUGUACAUCCGCAAGCUUCGGCGGUAAAGCAAGUCGGUAGGCCACCGUGCCGACUCGCUCCAAUAUUUCAUAUGGUCCAAUGUAUCGGGGACUUAGUUUUUCCCGCACUCCAAACCGCUUCACACCUCGCAUCGGUGAAACCUUCAAGAAUACGCGGUCACCUACCGCGAACUCUAUAUCUCGACGGUGUCUAUCUGCAUAGCUUUGCUGUCUCGACUGCGCCGUGAGCAAUCUCUUGCGAGCAAGGCGGACUUUCUCCUCCGCUUCUCGCAACACAUUUGGGCCGAACUCAACACGCUCGCCUACAUCGCUCCAGUGUAUAGGAGAUCGACACGUCCGCCCAUAAAGAGCCUUGAACGGUGCCAUCUCUACACUAGCGUGAUAACUGUUGUUGUAGGCGAACUCGGCCAUCGGUAGGUGGUCACACCAACUUCCUUGUAGUCGAUGACACACGCUCGCAACAUGUCCUACAGAGUUUGAAUGGUUCUCUCUGUUUGCCCAUCUGUCUGAGGAUGAAAUGCGGUGCUAAAGUCGAGCCGUGUGCCAAGGUCUUUCUGCAGGCUCUUCCAGAAGUAUGAGGUGAACCGGGGGUCACGAUCCGACACGAUCGAUUUCGGCACCCCAUGCAGUCUCACUAUCUCGUCAAGAUAUACCUACGCUAACUUGUCACCCGACCACGUAGUGUGGAUCGGCAAAAAGUGAGCCGACUUUGUCAAUCGGUCCACAAUUACCCAAAUUGCAUCGUGGCCACCCGUUGAGCGAGGCAAGCCGACCACGAAGUCCAUCGAUAUAUCCUCCUAUUUCCAAACAGGGAUUGGUAGGCUUGGAAGCUUUUUCGCUGGAAAUCGGCGCUCGGCCUUUACUUGUUGGCAUGUUAGGCAUUUUGCCACAAAGCGUCCAAUGUCACUCUUCAUUCCCGACCACCAAUAGUGCAUCUUCAAUCCUUGAUACAUCUUGGUGCCGCCCGGGUGAUCGGCAUAUGGAGAUCGGUGUGCUUCUUGCAGAAUCAAUUCACGAAGCUCUCCAUCUUUCGGCACACACCAUCGGUUUCGAAACCGAAGCGUACCAUCGACGUCUACCUUGAAAUCGCCGCCAUGUCCUUCCUCGAUGUUUCGCCGCACCUUUUGGAGUUACGGGUCUGCGGGUUGCAGAUCUUUAAUCCUCUCCAACAAGGUCGGUUGGACAACGAGUGCCAUCAACUGAGUCGGGACCUCGAGAGCGACCACUUCAAGGUCCAAUCGCUCCAUGUCCAGCCACAGGGGUGUUUGCUGGGUAACAUCAAACGCGAGGUUCUUCGCCGACUUCCUACUUAGUGCGUCUGCGACCACAUUUGCCUUCCCGGGGUGGUAGAGGAUAUCAACAUCAUAGUCCUUUAACAGCUCCAACCACCGCCGCUGACGCAUGUUGAGCUCCUUCUGUGUAAACAGGUAUUUCAAGCUCUUGUGGUCGGUAUAAACCUCACAAUGGGCACCGUAUAAAUACUGCCUCCACAACUUCAAGGCGAAAAUCACCGCCGCUAGCUCCAAAUCAUGGAUGGGGUAGUUCUUUUCAUAGCUCUUCAGUUGACGGGAUGCAUAUGCAAUUACCUUCCCGUUCUGCAUCAAUACACACCCCAAUCCAAGGUAGAAGGCAUCACUGUAGACCACGAAGUCUUCGCCCUGCACCGGUAGAGCGAGCACCGGAGUCGAAGUCAGUCCUUGCUUCAACUCUUUGAAACUCCGGUCACAUUCUUCGCUCCAAACAAACUUGGUGCCUUUCUGGGUCAGGCGGGUAAGUGGAAUCACUAUUUUGGAAAAGCCUUCCACAAACCGCCUAUAAUAGCCCGCCAAGCCCACGAAGCUUCGAACCUCCGUGACAUUCGUCGGGCGCGGCAAGUCCCUGAUUGCCUCAACUUUCCUCGGGUCUACAGAAACUCCACCCGCGAAAAUCACAUGCCCUAAGAAGGCGACCUCGCGGAGCCAGAAGUCACACUUAUUUAGUUUAGCAUAUAGCUUCUCCUCCCGAAGGACUUGAAGCACUAAUCUCAGAUGCUCGGCAUGUUCCUCGUCACUACGAGAAUAGACCAAUAUGUCGUCUAUGAAGACCACGACAAAUCGAUCCAAAAACCUCCUGAAGACACGGUUCAUCAAAUCCACGAAUGCUGCUGGAGCAUUCGUGAGUCCAAAUGGCAUGACCGUGAAUUCGUAGUGUCCAUACCGCGUGCGAAACGCGGUCUUUUGCACAUCCUUCGGCUUGAUCUUCAAUUGGUGGUAGCCGGAUUGCAAGUCUAUCUUCGAGUACACACACGACCCUUGCAACUGAUCGAAUAAGUCAUCGAUCCGGGGUAGUGGGUACUUGUUCUUGAUAGUGACUCUGUUCAAUUCUCGAUAGUCCACGCAGAGUCGAAACGAUCCAUCCUUCUUCCGCACAAACAACACCGGGGCUCCCCACGGUGAUACACUUGGCCGGAUAAAUUGCUUGUCGAGGAGGUCUUGCAAUUGACUCCUCAACUCUUUCAAUUUCGCCGGCGCCAUUCGGUAUGGAGCCUUCGAGAUCGGCGUGGUACCGGGAACCAAGUCUAUAACGAACUCGAUCUCCCGAUCCGAUGGUAUACCGGGCAACUCCGUAGGAAACACAUCCGGGAACUCCCGCACCACCGAUAACUCCUCUAAUGUUGGAGCUACUCGCUCCACUUCUACACCGGUCGCUAAGAACGCCAUGCAACCGCUGUUGACUAACUUUCUUGCUCUCGUCGCCGACACCGUUGCGACGAAGCACGAGCUCUGACAAGCCCAGUAGGUGAAUUCUUCUUGUCCUGGCUCACGGAAGGUGAUCACCCUGCUCUUGCAGUGGAUCGUUGCGUGAUAUUUCGAGAGCCAGUCCAUACCCAGAAUGACGUCAUAAGCCUCAAGCUUUGUGAGUUCCAGUGUCCGGAUAGGCAUAAUCCAGUCGCCUAUUUGUACUGGACAUGACGCACACUCCGUGUAGGUGUUAAAAGUUGACCCAGGGCCCUCCACUCACCACUUGUCACUCGCCUCUAUAUGUAUGCCAUGCAUGCGUGCGAAUGAUCUACUUAUGAAUGAAUGUGUGGCUCCUGUAUCAAAUAAAGCCCUGGAGCGAACUCCGUUAAUCAAAACCAUACCUGCCACAAGGCGAUGCUCCUCCGCCUCCGCAGGCUCCUCAGCUUGGACCUGAGAGGCGAACACCCGUCCGCUCGGGGCCGAUCGUGUCACUUCAGGUUGACGCGGCAUCAUCAUGCGUCCGGUCGACGCGGCCGUCGGUGGGGCUCCUCCAUAGUGAGUCGGGAUCGCCGGCGCCGAUGUCGUCGAGGGGGCAGGUGAGGCUCCUCCUCCCGGGCAAUCUCGAAUAAAGUGCCCCGGCUGCCCACACUUGUAGCACUUGCCUCGGCCUUGCUCAUAGCGCGAGACCGAAUGAUCUCCACCGCAUAUCAUGCAUCGUCGCACUCCACCGCCCUUCUGUUGAGUGCGCGCAUACUUCGGGGGCUUCUUGUAACGUGUCUGUCCCCCCGAACUACCGCCACCUUGGCGUUUCUUGCCCUUGUCCUUAGACUCGGCCAAAGCCUCACGCGUCUCCCGAACGUGAGCAUCUCCGUGCUUCGCCCAUAGGGCUCGAUCAAAGACCUCCGCAAAGGUCGUGAGCUUGAGUAUUUGCAUGGCCUUGUAGAUUCCCGGCCGAAGUCCUCGCAAGAACCACUCGGCCCGGUCCCAGUCAUCCUUUACAACAUCCGGAACACAGUCGAUAAUAUAGGAGAAUUCUUGUUCAUACUCCGCCACUGAGCGGUCCCCUUGCUCUAGCUUGCGGAACUUCUCCUUGAGCUUCCGCUUCAAUGUAUCGGGGAAAUAGUUGGCGAACAUCUCCCGCUUGAAUUCCUCCCAUAACAUUGGCGGAAGGCCGGGAAGCCGAUCCCGCUUAACGCGCUUCCACCAAACCUUCGCCGCCUUCUCCAAGCAAUGGGUGGCGAGGUACACUUUAUCCCUCUCCAAAGUACGCAAGUCGUCGAAGAGGGUUUCCAGCGAGUCGAUCCAAGACUCGACCAUCUCCGGUUCCACCUUCUCGCCCUCAAAGGUUGGCGGAUGGAACUUGUUGAACUUGAUCAGAGCCGCCAAUGCGCGCUCUCCCUCCACGUCUUCGGCCGACACAUCGGGUGUAGCCGAUCCCAAUGCCGCCUGUGGUACGAUCGUUGGCGGUGGGCGUGCCGUCACCGGAGCCGCCGCUAUGCCCUCACCCUCUGCCGCUCCGGGUACAUGAGUCGAGGGUGCGGGCGGACCACCGCCUUCAUUUGCCGUCGCAGCCGCCGCCGCGAUCUGCCGCUCCAAUAGGUCCUGGAGCUGCUCGAAUCUGGUCUCCUAGCGCUGCACCACAUUGGUCAGCGCGGUCACCUGCGCUUGCAACCGAUCGAUCACGCUCGGUUCCUCCUGCUCGGGCACCUCAGGAGUCGGUGCUGGGGCAGUUCUACGCGUGUAGCGUCUUGGAGANUGACAUUAGUCCCUAAAACGCAAUUACUUGGUCAGUCAUUUUAACCAAUUACCUCGUCGCAAUUACGACACAUGACGACUCAACCACAAAUCGGGCGGAAGCACACAAGUGCACUCGUUCUAGACUCUUGGUAUCAUGUCGUCGGCCGCCGACACAACCACCUCAAGAAAAGAACUCGUACAACUUGAAUCCGUCUCUAAUCACAACUAGAGACAUAUUACCAACUUCGACCCAAUCGAAUUAACCUCCGCCAUCGCUAUAGGUUCACGUUCCGCUCACGCACCUAUAACCUUAGGGCUUACCAACCUAGGGUCUCCUAGGUCAUCCUAGACUCUCUCUUUACUUGCUCUUAUAGCUCUGAUACCAAAACGGCUGUCACGCCCCGCCUCGAAACCACUACCACUUUGGCACGGUUCGGCCGCGGCGGCGGGCCGCCGAACGGACAGCACCUCCCCUGUACACCCAAGGCUCAACAUAGGAAUGUGUACAAGAAUUUACCCAGAAAAUUAAAUUCUAAGCAUACACAUUAAAGAGGGCACAAACAGUGCCAAUAAUACAGAGAGCAAGCGAUCCACAAGAUAUAACUAGUGAAAUAAAGAGAGUACUUUACUAACUAUUCCAUUAGUUCCAACCUUCUCAUUUACAUCAUUAUCUUUAAAUGAUUACAUUCUUCAUCCAAAAUACAUAGCUCUCCAAAUCCUUACCUACAAUGAUCUUUCUCAAUACAUAGGUGUGGUAAUGUAAAAAUGAAAGCUACUAUACUACCACGGUCUCACUGGUCGGGCGCGACGCCCUUGCCGCGGUCCUCUCUCUGCAGCCCUGAACCUACCACUGGAAAUAGAGUGGGGUGAGAACUAUCUUCCAUAGUUCCCAGUGGGCUCGGCCGCCGACUCUGCCGAUCUCCCCACUAGGUCCAAGUGGGCACAAGUAACAACAGAUAGAUAGAUAGAUAUGUAUCUGAAAGCUGUAAAUGCAGUAGUAGGAAAACUAUGCUACUAUGCCCAUAAUCAUGAAUAUGAAUGCAUGCAUCAUAUAAUAAAGGUUUGCUACCAUGCUAACAAACUCGAUCCAUGUUCGAAUAGCAAUGUUCAAUGACAUUAUCAACCUUUAACCUUUCCAUUUACCCAAUCUGUGGCGAGGCCCUAGGGCUCGCCUAUAACUCACCUUUCAAUCCCAAAGUGGGGAGGGAGCUCCAAGUGCACCCAAGCCCGGGACCGUCUGCGGACCUCCAUGUGGUUCGGACCUCCAAGUGGUCCUAGUCGCGCGACACUCCGGAGUACUCGACGACCAUCCCCUCCAUGUGGGGAUUAGAUGGCUAUACCAUCCCAAACGCAGACUGUGAGCUAGAUCUAUCCUCUCCAAGUGAGGAUACACUAUCACUAGGGUCAACAACCCAAUCCAAUCCUCUCCAAGUGAGGAAGCACUAUAACUAGGGUCCGCAACCCAAUCAAAUCCUCUCCAAGUGAGGAAGCACUAACUAGAGUCAACAUCUCUCGCGAGAUCAUUUGUUCCCGACAUUCAUGCAAUGCUAUUUAGCUUGUCUAAAUUCAUUGUUCACAAGGCAUUUUCUAAGGGAUCCACCUAUCCCUAGGUUCUCAAACCUCUAGUGUCAUAUACAUUAUAUUAAUGCCACUCGUCAUCAUUUAAUGUUUGGAUGCCACUUGUAUGUUCUUUAACAUUAACAAUACUUUCUAUGUCAUCAACACCCCCAUCGGGUUCAUCUCUACCUCUAGCAUCAUAGGAUCCACGUUCCGACCCAAUCCUCACCUAUCUAAGUUACCAAGCGUUCUAAGUAUACUAGGUUAUCAUUUAGAAAGUAUAAGGAAUGGUGCUACUAUGCAAUCCUAUAAUGCAACAUGAAGAGAUGAGAUUAAAUGCAAUUUGAGACAUAGAAAGGAGUCCGAAAGCUUCGGGAUGGCACCCCCCACCUUUAUUCGAUGUAGAGGCUUUGGAUAUUCUUCUCUGCGAGCUUUACGAAAAGGCUUUAGCCUUCCUCGCCCAAAUCAACACUAGCCCGGCCCAAUUUUGCCGAGGACUUCACGUCGGUUCGCCGAAUGCCAAAAUCGACUUCGCCCCCACGAUUUGUGACCUAACAAUAGGGUUUCCAAGGCUUCAAAUGAGAUCAAUCUCAUACUUUCACAAAAACCCCAUUUUGGAGCCCUAGGUUUGCAUCUAUAGCAAACCAUCAAUAAAUCCCUAGAUUUCUUGGGAUUGAUCUAUUUAGAAGCUAGCUAGGGUUCAUUUGACCCAUUCCAAAGCAUAAAAACCCAAAACCCUAAGUUUUAUAAGCUAGGGUUUGUAGCUUACCUCUUGAGCUACACCAAUGGAGAAGAGAGAAAGAGAGGAAGAUGCUCCAAGCCUUCUCUAGCUUGUUCUCCUCCUUCUUCUUCUCUUUCUUCUUCUCCUUCUCUUUUGUUCUUUCUUUUCUAGAGAGAGAGAGAGGGAGCAAGAAAGAGUGUGAAAGAGAGAGAGAAUGAGAGAGUGUGAGGGAGAGAGAGGGCUCAGCCCACUCUAAUAAAGGUCAUUUUGCAUAAAAACCCCUCAACUUUCCAUCCCUUGCACAGCCCUUACUGGGCAGUUUUCGCGCGGAGGGACCGGUCUCCCCGACUUGGGACCGGUCCCCGAGAGCUUCCCUCGGGCGCACGCGUUUGGGAACCGGUCUCUCCCCAGGAGACCGGUCCUCGGGAGACCGGUCCCCACCUGAGAGACCGGUCCCCGAGAGCUUGAUUUUCAGGACUUAGCCAAUUUUUGGCAUUUCUCACUGGGGCAACGUUCGGGAACCGGUCUCUCCCCGUCAGGGACCGGUUGCAUCAAGCAACCCCGCAACACCCAGCUGAUGGAACUGGUCUCUCACCUCCAGAGACCGGUCCCCGAGAGUAUCAUCAGCCCAAUGAUGCAGUUUGCACCAUUUGCUCUCGCGGACUCAACUCCAAAGCACUUUUUGUGUUUUGGACAUUCUUAACUCCCGCAAAAGGGUAUUCUCUCGACGGUCAGUCGAUCCUGGAUGAAGUACAAUCCUCAGAUUUCGAUAAUUCACUUCCUUACAGACUACCGCCCCUAUCCUAACCCUGCUAGUUGCUGGAGCAGGGUAUGUGGUUUACAGUGAUGCAUCUCUUAGUGUAUUGGGCUGUGUCUUGAUGCAGGAUGGCAAGGUAAUCGUGUAUGCUUCUCGCCAACUGAAGGAAUAUGAAAAGAAUUACCCUACGCACGAUUUGGAGUUGGCGGCCGUAGUCUUCACAUUGAAGUUAUGGCGCCACUACUUGUAUGGCGAGCGGUGUGAAGUAUACACGGAUCACAAGAGCCUCAAAUACCUGUUCACUCAAAAGGAGUUGAAUUUGAGGCAACGCAGAUGGCUAGAGCUGCUCAAGGAUUAUGAUCUGACGAUUCUAUACCACCCGAGGAAGGCUAACGUGGUGGCGGAUGCGCUAAGUAGAAAAUCAAAGAAAAACUUAGCGAUGCAUAUUGUUACUCAACCACAGUUGAUCGAGCAGAUGAAGCGGUUGGAGUUGGAGGUGGUGACUCCUGAUACGCCUUUGAGAUUGAUAACUUUGGUGGUGCAACCUACACUUUUGGAUCGAAUUAAAGAAAAGCAAGCUUCUGAUGUGGAGUUGCAAAAGAAUAAAGGUAAAAUGGUUGAUGGUUGCACCGGCAAUUUCCUUGUGGAUGACCAAGGAUUGAUGCGUUUCCGUAGACGGAUUUGUGUACCGGCGGAUUCGGGAAUUAAAGAAGAUAUUCUUCAAGAAGCGCACCGAGCGCCUUAUGCUAUACAUCCGGGAGGCACCAAGAUGUAUAAGGACUUGAAGUUGCUUUAUUGGUGGCCCGGGAUGAAAAAGGACGUUGGCGAGUUUGUAGCUCGAUGUCUAACUUGCCAACAGGUGAAGGCUGAGCACCGAUUACCCGCGGGAAAGCUUCAGAGCUUACCGAUCCCCGUAUGGAAGUGGGAGAAGAUCACCAUGGAUUUCGUGACAGGAUUGCAUCACUCUCAGGCCGGGCAUGAUGCUACAUGGUUGAUCGUGGAUAGGUUGAUGAAGUCGGCGCACUUCAUACCUAUUCAUACUACUUGGACCGGAGAGAAGCUCGCACAAGUGUACCUUGAUGAGAUUGUGCGACUUCAUAGAGUGCCUACAUCGAUAGUAUCGGAUCGAGACACUUAGUUUGUGUCUCACUUUUGGAGGAGUCUACAGGAUGCCUUGGGCACCCAAUUGGACUUCAGCACUGCUUUCCACCCCUAGAGUGAUGGGCAGUCGAAGCGCACCAUUCAAACUUUAGAGAAUAUGCUCCGAGCAUGUGUGAUAGACUUCUAGGGAGGAUGGUCGCAGCAUCUACCGAUAGCAGAGUUUGCUUAUAACAACAGUUAUCAAGCAAGCAUCAAGAUGGCGCCGUUCGAAGCACUUUAUUGAUGGAAGUGUAGAUCGCCACUUCAUUGGAGUGAAAUAGGCGAGAGAUUGGCUUUAGGCCCUGAUGUGCUCCAGGAAGCUGAGAACAAGGUACGAAUCGCUCGGGAGCGACUUUUGACGGCACAGAGUAGACAGAGGAGCUACGCCGAUCGACGGCAGCGAGACUUGGAGUUCCAAGUUGGAGACUAUGUUUUCUUGAAGGUCUCGCCGACUAGAGGGAUGAAGAGAUUCGGGAUUCAGGGUAAGUUGAGCCCCCGUUUCAUUGGACCGUAUGAGAUUUUGGAACGUGUAGGUCCGGUAGUGUAUCGACUUGCUCUACCACCGAACCUAUCGGGCGUGCACAACGUCUUUCAUGUAUCGGUCCUUUGGAAGUAUGUCUUCGACCCGACUCAUGUGUUGGAUGCUAUACUUGUGGAGUUGCGGGACGACUUGAGAUUCGAGGAGCAACCCGUGAAGAUCUUGGCUCACGAGGUGAAGAAACUGCGGAAUCGGGACAUUCCGUAUGUGAAGAUGCUUUCGAGCAACCACGGGGAGCGAGAGGCCACGUGGGAGUUAGAGAGCGCGCUGCGGGAGCGCUAUCCCCAUCUUUUUCAGAUGGAGCAUUGAGGUAUGUGUUUGCUUUUGAGUUUCGCGGACAAAACUCCCUUUUAGGAGGGGUGAAUGUAACACACUGGACCUGUGCAAAUUGCGAGGUUCGAGUGUUUGAUAUAGAUUUCGAACUUUUCCACACUUGGUGGAAGGUCGUAGAUGGUACUCCGACCUAAAAGUUCGAAUUCUAGAGUUUUGGCAAUGUCCUGAGAGUUUUCACUCUCGGGGACCGGUCCCUGAUAGGAGACACCGGUCCCCUCAGAACAGUGUUGCGGCAGCCUGCGAGGCAAUCGGUCCCUGGCGGAUGAGACCUGUCCCCGAGCGCGACCACGCGGGGAGAGACCGGUCCCAUGCGGGGAGAGACCGAUUCCCGAACGUUGGAUUUUCGGAGCAUGCUGAGAGACCGGUCCCAGGUCGGGGAGACCGGUCCCUCAGUCCAAAAACUGCCCAGACCGGGCAGUGCAUAGUGUUGAUUGUUGAGGGACCUACGUGGAUUUUGUUACUUGGGAUGGCUUAUAUGGUCUUUUCUCUUCCUCACACUCUCAUUUCUCUCCUUCACACUCACACUAGAGAGAGAAAGAGAAGGAGAAGAAGAAGAAGGAGAGGGAAAGAGCUUGCUUGAAGGCCUUGGAGCAUCAUCUUCUUCCUCUUAUCACACCUUGGAGGCUUGGAGCUCGUGGUUGAAGCUUUGUGGAGGAUCAAACUUCAACCCUUCUUGGUUUAGAGCUUGGUUUGGAGCUUCUCUUGAGGUUGGUAACUUGUCUUCCCCAUUUAAUACAAGUUUUCUAGAUUUUGCUAGAUGAAACCCUAGUUUUGAGAUUUAGGGUUUAUUUUGAGGGUUUUUGAUUUGGGGGCUUUGAAACCUAAUUGAUGGGUUUAGAACCUUUAUUUAGGUUGGAUUUGAAGAACUCUAACUCCCAUUUGGAGCUUGAGAGAGGAUUUCUUCACUUGAGGUGAGUUUCUCCACCUUAGCUUGAGGUGAUUAAUGAUUGAGCUUAGUUUUGUUCGUAAGGUUCGUUUAACCUUUGUUCCUACAUCUUUAGGGUGCUAGGGGACUAGCAGACACAUUUGUCGGAGCAAACGAAGGAUCGCUAGAGUUGUGGGGUUUGGCUUCAUGAAAACGGGGCAAAGUGGCCCCUAUGCUUUUUAUACUUGUCGUAACGUCCUUUUGAAUGCAAAUCUGUGCUAUAUAGAAUUUAUGGGAAAUUUAGAACACUUAAAAUGCAUGCCUUAUGUAUUAUGAAAAUUUCACUUUAUAUAGUAGGGCAUUCUGGGCAUUUUUGCAUGCAUAUGAGAAGUGUUCGUGUUAGCGACUUGAAAACAUAUCUCUUAUGUUAGAAUUUGCUCAAAUUAUGCAUUUGUAAACAAUAAACUCAUGUUUGGACUUAGUGGGCAAAAAUGCCAUAAAGAGGCAUUUGACAUAGUAAACUGUGAAACUGCAACAUAGAGACAUAGUGAUAGGCUAUUGAACAUUGCUAUAUUCCAUGUUAGAGACAUGAUGACAUAGAGAUAGGCCUUUGAGACAUUCGACGUAUAUGCCAUGUUUUUAGACAUGAGAACUUGGUACUUGAGACAGAUUUUUCGCUUGCUUGCCAUUGUUCUCAUUCGCACAUGAUUGUGAGGGUUGCUCCCUACAAGCCGGCACUCCGGAGAUAGCCAUAUCGACAUAUGCUCGCUCGUGCGGGAUUGGGCGCCAAAAUGGGAUGCCGUGGGGGAGGCUCAUUCCUAGAGUGGGGAUGUUGACUACCACGGGGCCGUUAGGCACGGCGCAGGCCGGACUACCCACGGGUAGGUCCUAUAGGAUUAGAUCAUUGAUGACUUAACAUACCGACUGGACAUUGACUAGAAUAGUAAACAAGACAUUUUUCUAUUUAGCUUGUGGACAUCAUGCUAGUGAUACUUUGGUACAUUCAUGUUAGAAUAGUCUUUUAUUACUUAUGCAAAUUCAUGCUAAGUAGAGAUAUCAUGUUGUAGUAAGUUUACAUGUUUACUUACAUAUCGAUUCUAUUGCUUUUAUUGUUACUUAUCUGUUUAGCUCUUUUGGGCCUAGUGGUGCUUUCACUGAAGUCAAUAAUUGCCCACUGGGAACUAUUAUUUAAUAGUUCUCACGCCCCCUGUUUUAUGGUUUUUCUUUCAGAGCCCUCUGCACUGGCAGAGGCACGGGAUCACGGCAUGGGGAUCGCUAGCUAGAUAGCGAGGAUUUACUGUUACUUAGGUGGUUUUCUCGCUUUUUUUUGUUGUUGAGAGAGAGAGAGAGUGGGGUUUUGUAUCCAUAUAUAGAGACCACCUAUGUAUUUACUUAUAGCACUUGUUUUGGGAUUUCUAUUGUACUACCUUUGAUUUACUUAUGGUGGAUGUUAGCUCCUUUACUUGUUUUCUCUUAUAGAAUCUAGAUACUGUACUAUGCUCUGAUACUCCUAGAUGUCUUUUAUUAUUGCUUUAUUUACCGUUGUUUCUAGACGCCUUAUAUGUUUUAAACGUAUGGCGGGUCUGGACAAGUGCCGGGCGGGCUUCCGCUGGGUCCCGGGGCAUGACAGGGGACGACACCCUAGGCGCGACCACCUCUACUGGUGCGGGUGGUGUAGGGAUCUGAGUCUCCCUGGCAGCCGCCUGCUAUAGCAAAAGGUCCUCCAGGCGCUUCAUCCGCGCUUCCCGCCGAAGCGCCGUAUCCGCCUGUCGCGUCACCAAAUCAGUGAGGGCUGCAAGCUGGCCCCUCAACUUACAGACCUCGCCGGAUCCGAAGGUAGUGGAGGUCUCGACCUUCUCAAUAUGUGCCGCAUUAUCCGCUCCAGCAGAUUGAGAGCGUGUAAUCGGUAUCGUCACUACAACAUCAUAAAAGCGUAAGUUAGUUAACCCACGCUGUCGAAUCCCGGCUCAAAUAAACAAUAUCCAAAUCAUGCGAAAGUAAGGAAGUGUUAUCCACAACUAACUCUCGAUGUUACGUUGUCAGCCGCCAACGUAACCCUCUGCGAAGUUAGAAGCCAUACACUCUGAUCCAACUCCAAUUUUUAGAGUUAUCAUGAAACCCAAUCAUAAUACUUUCGCUUACAAAUUGAAUAGAUCUCGUCUCUCAUGAGCCUAUUUCCUAUAGUCCAACCGGCCUAAGGUUUGCUAGGUCCACUAAGACUCAACCCUAGGCUCUGAUACCAAAUUAAUCUGUCACGCCCCGGAACCAGCGGAGGCUCUCCCGGGAGCGUGCCCAGACCCGCCAUAUGUCAACACAUAUAAGGCGUCUACGACAACAGCGGAAAAUAAAGCCAAAAAUAAUCUACAACUAGAGAUAUCAGAGCAAGAAUAAAUCUAUCAUCUAUAACAAGGUGGAAGAAAAUACUAAACAAUAAAGGUGAAUCAUAAAGCUAUGCAAUAACCAUCUCCAAAAUGGUACACAAAAAGGUGGUCUCUAUACAUGAAUACAACUCUCAACCUCUCCAAAAAGAAAACAACGAGAGGUAGACAACCUAUCAACGCGUCCCUCGAUAGCAAGCUAGCUCGAGGCAAAUCCCUUUCCGCGGUCCCUAGCCUCUCCCGGAGUGGAAGGCUCUGAAAUAAAGACAUAAAACAGAGGGCAUGAGAACUAUAAUUUAUAGUUUCCAGUGGGCAAUUACUGACCUCAGUUCAAUGCACCACUAGGCCCCAAAAGAAAAUGGUAAGUACGGAAACGACGGUAAUAAUAAUAAUAAACUGUAAGUGUAAGAGCAAGUAAUGUUUGCUAAAUUUACUAUGCCAUAAACCAUAAGAUGUCAAUGUAUUGUGCACGUAUUAUAUCAAGUUGUAGUAUAUCCAAUGCAUGACUACUAUGUCCCAACGUGGCAAGAACGUAGAUAACAUGAUCCAUUCUAUCAAUAUAUGAUGAUUAUGCUCUAUCAAGGCAACCAAGUAUACUAUGAUGCAACAGGUAAAUUAUCAAGUAUACUAUAUGUCUCAACACUAUGCUAUAAGCAUGUCAAAGUAAUCCAACUACUAAUCCUAUCUAGUAGUGAUUGUCAUUUCUCGGUUCAAUGUCAUUAUUUAAUCAUAUUCUAGGACCUACAUAAAUGUAGUUCAGCUUGUGCCACCUAAGUGUUGGUGGUAGCUCCAGCAUUCCCACUCUAGGAAUGAGUCUAUCCCUUCCGACCCCGUAGGUUUCUCGAUACCGCACGAGCGAGCAUAAGUCGUGUAGGCCAACUCCGAAGUGCCAGCUUGUAGGGAGCAACCCUCACAAGCAUGUGCGAAUAAGCACAAAUGGCAAGCAAGCGUAGUCGACGUCUCAAAAGUCCAAUCAUCAUGUCUCUAACAUGGUAAAAGUCACUAGCAUCAUAAAGAUCUAGUUCAAUGUCUCAAGAUGAUGUUCCAACACUCACUAUGCUUAGUGCCUCUUUAUGACACUUAAGCUUGUUAUAAGUUAAACAUAUUUCAUUUUCUAUGUUCCAUUCAUGACAUUAGCACUAGGUUCUCAUUUAACCCGAGCUCAAUGCCCCUUUAUGAUAUUAGCCCAAUCAUUCUCAAGUAGUACAAGUCCCCAAGCCUCUUAAGGCUUACUAAAGUCCCUUAUGUCUCAAUUAGGUUUAAAUUUAAAUGCAUGAAGCAAUGCUCAAUUUCAUUGUAAGAAACAUAGUCCCGAGUCCAACAUAAGAAUGCCCAAUGCUAGUGCAAGCUUCACAUGCAACUCUCUCUCUACUAUAUAGAGGUCCGAAAAUUCAUUAUACAUGACAUAGGGAUGUUAAGCAUUCUAAAAUUCACAAUAAAUACAUUUAACAUGAAAAUGCAUGAAUUUUCACUUUACGAAACAUAAAUCACCAAAUAUGAAAAUUUCUCAUAUUGUAGGCUAGGUCAAACCAAGGUUUUAAGUGCCGAGGCGUGCCAUACGGCAUGCCCCGUGCCGUACCGUGCCCCCAAGAAAGGGGCACGGUACAGGGGGGGUAUCGCACCCCCCCGCGUGCCGCAGGCACGUACCGGCAUGCCGCCGGGUUUUUUUUUUUUUGACUUGUUGGCUUCUUUUUUUUUUUUGUUCUCUGGGAUACAACCCCCAGGCCAUCUAUAUUGUAUUUUUUUCACUUUUAUCUUAUUUUUUUGACAUCGUGAUGCCUUUUUGUCAACUUUUUUUUUUUUUUUUGCCUUUUGGCUUUUUUUUUGGUUUUUCUUUUAUUAAAUUAAAAACUUAUAAUUUAACUUAUUAUUUAUCUGAUCCAUAUGUCGGCCCGAGCCCUCCGCUUCCACCACUGACAUCCAUUUUUUCUUCACAAAAUAUUUUAUCAAAAUUUGUCGCACCGCGAAACUUUCGAUGAAUCAAAGAAACAAAAAUCGAUUUCCUAAACAAAUUUUGAUCAGAUAUUUUUAAUAAGAACAAAAAAAUAAAAAAUAUAGAUGUAAUAUUGGGAAUAUAUGAAUUUCUCAGAAUGCCAGCAAUACUUGUAUCAAUAUUGUCAAAUAAAUCUUGUAUCCGCAGAUAACAAUAUGACAUAUGAUCCAGCGCGACGAUCUAUGUGAAAUUAAGCAGUCAUCUCUAUGUAAAGAUGUAAAUUUAAAUAAUUAUUGUACUGUGAAUUUUAUUAUUAUAUUUUAAUUUCUAUUCUAUAUCAGGUAUA